GCUUGGAACCUUUCCCUGAGUGCCUGCCUAGCACUGCUCUCGAGUACUCGUCUUCCACUGCUGCUGUACUUUCAAAGAAGCUACCAUAUCUGCCUGGAGAACAGAUAAGGCAAGUGAAAAUGAUACCUUGCAGCAUGUGGAGACAAGGUGCAGAAGGAACAAGCAGAGAAGAAUGCGUUCUGCACAGUCAACUCAGCAGAAGAAGUCCGAGCUGAAGAACUCGAGAAGCUGCCACAUCUGCCUGAAGAAACAAGCAGAGAAGAAUGCAGCAUGCACAGUCAACUCAGCAGAAAGAGUCUGAGAUAAAGAACUUAAGAAGAUGCCACAUCUGCCUGAGGAACAGAUAAAGCAAGGGAAAAUAAUACAUUGAAGCAUGUGGAGACAAGCACAACAAAGCACGUGCCGAUUCAUCCGCUGCUUCUUCAAAAUCAAAAGUAUCUCAUAUCAUCAGGGUUGCAAUCACUCUGGACGGUGAACUCGUUUUGACCCUGAAAUUCUUGGGUCGACUUACUAGGUGUUGUGGGAUGCACGUGCCGAUUCACCACCCUUGAAUCGAAUCCUUAAAGAUCAAGUCACCAACUGGAAGAAAGCCCCAUCAAUCUUGAAGAUCAUACCGUUGACCAAACUGCUCAGGUGUGAAUUAGAAAGAUUGAACAAAGAAACAGGUUGUCACCUUUACCUCGUGCCUGCUUGCCAUGUGUUCGAGUCAACCUUUAAGAAUCAAGCCUCAACGGCCCUUGAAGAAGUUUCCAACCAAAUUCAAGAUCAAGCCUCGACGGCCCUUGAGGAAAUCACAAGUCCAAUUCAAGAUUAAGUGUCUACCACCAUUGAAUCAAAACCUAGUUCAAGAAUAAGUUGUGGAAAAUCAACAAUUGGAGGAAUCCAGAAAAUCCUCCAACCCAGUUCAAGAUCAAAGCUGUGGAAAGUCAACAAGCGCAACAAAAUAUGUGCCGAUUCACCCACUACCAAAGCCAAAGAUCAUCUACCACAUGAAGCUCCUUGUGGUCCAAUUUCAACCUUCAAGAUCAAGCCUCGACAGCCCUUGAAGAAAUUUCAAACAAAAGUUCAAGAACAAGCCUUAACGGCCCUUGAAGAAAUCUCAAGCCCAAUUCAAGAUCAAGCUUCAAUGGCCCUUGAAGAAAUCUCCAGCCUAAUUCAAGAUCAAGCCUCGACGGCCCUUGGAUUGACAUCUACAGUAAAGGACUUCAAAACGCAUCUCCUACACGUGACAAGCACAUGUAUACGACGCGCCUUGAAGUGGGGGCAUUUGUAGACAUCGAAAUUUCGGUAAAUAAAUGUUGACCGAUAAAUCAAAGUGUCAACGCUCAUGUAUUACAUAAAUUUUACACGUAGCGUGUGACUCAACGAAAAUUGAAAUGAGUUGGAAAAGUCAUCAAAUAGGACACGUGUCAACACCUGGCAGAAACGACUUAUUUCAUCUGGGAUAUUAUAUUCAAAAUUAGGCCUUGGAAAAUUCUAUAAAUACAAGCCCAUUUCAUUCAUUUGAGGGGGAACCAAAAUCAUUAGGCAAAAUUCUUAAAGCUCUGAAGUUCUGAAACUCUAAAACUCCGAAGCUCUCAAGCAUCCAGGUUCCCGAAGAAUCAAGAAAUCUCUCUUCGUUCUUCGUUCAUCGUUCUUCGUUCAUCGUUCUUCCAAGAUCAAGCCCCAACGGCCCUUUGGAUCAACAAUCAUCCACCACUUCAAGAUCAAGCCCCAACGGCCCUUGAAGAAAGUGUUCUUCGUUCUUCGUUCUUCGUUCAUCGUUCUUCCAAGAUCAAGCCCCAACGGCCCUUGAAGAACUUCCACCAAUUCAAGAUCAAGCCCCGACAGCCCUUGAAGAAAGUAUUCAUCGUUCAUCAUCCGUUCAUCCAAGAUCAAGCCCCAACAGCCCUUUGGAUCAACAAACGUCGACAAAUCCACACAUCCAACCGUUCUUCAAGAUUAAGCCCAAAAGCCCUUGAAGAUCCGUUCAUCACUGUUCUUCAAGAUCAAGCCCAAAAGCCCUUGAAGACCCGUUCAUCAUCGUUAUUCAAGAUCAAGCAUUAACGGCCCUUGAAGAAAUACUCAUCAAACCCCAACGGCUUAUUGAAGAUCCGCUCAAAUCCACCUUCAAAGAUCAAGCCCACGGCCCCUUGAAAGAAACUUCCAAUAGUUCAUCCAAGAUCAAGCCUCGACAGCCCUUGGAUCAACGAAACAUCCACAAAUCAACGCCUUACGGAGAUCGAAUCAGAGGAUCAAAAUUGAGAGAGAUUGUAACCCAAAAUCAUCAAAUACAUAAUAUUUGUUUGUGCACGUUGUUCUUGUCUCUUUCGUUUCAGGAAUUUUCCGUGUUUACAGUCAUUUACGCUUUAUUCUUCUUACUGAAUUUCAUUUUUAAAAUUUUAUUUUUUGAAAACAUGAUCAUCUGGCGGAUGUAAGAAGAUGAUAUCAUGUUUCUAUAUUUACGGUUAACUGAAAUAUGAGUCAAUGUCAUAUAAUUUGUAGAAACUUUAUAAACAUCAAGCAAUAUUUUCACUAACCGUAAAACUCUAAAUAUAAUAUCAACGAUCCAAACCGUUCAUCUACCUACACCCUCUAAUAGAUCAUGUUUUCAAAAAUGAAAAUCUAAAAAAACGAAAUUUGAUAAGAACAAUGAAGCAUAAAUGUAAACAACAAUCAACGGUUAAAUUUUGAUCUAUGAAUUAUAUGAUUAUAGUAGCGAAUUUCGAAGUUAAGCUCUUCAUAAAAGUUAUAAAGCUUAUCAUUAAGAGUGUUUAUAUAUUUUUUUCUAUAUUUUUUUACACUUCUACAUUAAUUAAAAAACUAUUAAAGACUUUAGGUAAGCGAAAAUAUACUUCAAACAAAAUUGUGUUUUUAUGUUUUGGAUGUGAUAAUAUGGAAUGUAUAUACUUAUUUAGUAUUAUGUUUUUCAUUUGAUUAUUUAUUGGUUUAAAAUAUAUUUUUCUUAACGGGUAACGGGUCAGGUCAUAUUACCUGUUAAUAUUAUCGGGUCGAUUUCGGGUCGGGUCAUUUUACCCGUUUAUUUUAACGGGUGUUACACGACACGACCCGUUAAGAUAUCAGAUAUGACACGAAAACGACACGAACACGGAAAACACGAUACGAAUGCCAAGUCUAAUAUAUAUAUAUAUAUGUAUAUGUAUAUGCUUAUAUCUUAAUUAUGGGAAAAUUUUACAUGUUUUACAGCAAGGGGUUAGUAUGUUGAUAAAUGAAAUGGUUUUGUAAAACAUUUGUUUUUGCCCACUCACGUUUUCUAUUUUGCGCCCCUUUAGGUUUUAAGUAAGCUUGUUGUUGGUGGCUUGAGGAUGUUGGCAGUUCUGACUUAUCUAAAUAAUAGUAGGACAUUUCUGGUACUGUAUAACUAGUACUUGUCCUACUGGACUACACCUAAACUUUAUGCUCUGAUUAGGAGUGUUCACUGUUGUAACUAACACUAUCACUUUCUGUUUAGUAGUACACUCUAGUAAUUUGGUUUUUAAUUAUUCGUAUAUUUCUUAUCUUUAUUGCUUCAGCACUACGCACAUGGCUACGUCACUCUCACGUGACGUCCAGCAUGCCUUGAUCUCGGUCGGGGUGUGUCAGUGAAUGUUCAUGCUAUCAGGGUUGCAAAAAUAUCAAGAUAAAAACCUUUGUUUUGGAAGAACCUGAUUACGUGAUGAUAUAGAUGAACUGGUUUGUUGCAAAAAAAGCUUCAUUGUUAGAUUCUUAAGUGCAGCAGUAAGAGCGUGUUGUAGCUUAUUUUAUCUCACUACAGGGUAUGGGCAAUGGCAGGGAGAGACGUGUUUGUAGAAUCAUAGGGGAAUGUGUGUUGAGAAUGUGUUAUCUCCCUACGCAGUGCUUUUAUUUAUAGUAAUAAGAGGAAGAAUAAUUCCUUCAUCCCUAAGUAAUACAAAUCCAUAUAGGAAAGAAUAACUAAAAUAAAAUCUAAUCUAGGAUUUACACAAUCACACUUAAAUUAGGAAAGUUUAUAACACCAUCUAAAUUCUAAUAAUUAAUUAUACUUUUUUUUUAAACUAAUUAAAAGGGUUUGAAAAUUUUGAGUUUUAACGAUAUAAAGUGAAUAGUACCAAGAUUAAUUUUUUAGUGUAAAAAUGUGGUUUUUCGUUAAAGUGAACAGUACUAGAAACUUUUCUUUAAAGUUCCUUUUUUUUUUUUUUUUGAUUUUUUUGAUUGGAAAAAUAAAAAAAAUAAAAAAGGUGGAGGAGGGUGCAUCAUGCAGUGGCACGUGACUUCACACGAACGUCUUCCAGGAACUCAGGAAUUAAGCAUACAGACAAUCGCCGAAAGGUCUUCAAUUUGGGGUCACAUGAGUUAACUACGUCCGUCCGAUCAACAUACUUUUCUUGUUCCAACAAUCCAGCCGUAAAUAAUUAAACGCCACCAUAGCAUCGUACACCUGAAGCAACACCGUAAUAUAUCUCCUCUUGGCGAGCCGGAAGAGCAAGUGUCUUUGUUCUUCGCUGGAAAUAUUUUUCUAUUCAUUUUCUUUUCCGAAUUCCGAUUAUCCAAACGGGAGCGAGGAAGAAGAAUCCGUCGGACAAAAUCUCACUGACCGGAGCAUCCAAUCCAAAUGGCGGUUUCCGUGACGGCGUCCACGAUUCCUUCUCUCAGCUCUGACCGUACGACUCGCUUAGCUGCGGCGGCGGCCUCAUCCUCCUCCUCUUCUUCUUGUUCAAAGCUGUCUUCCUCUACUUCUCUGCGAUUUCCGGCGCAGCUUCGACGUGUUCGGAUCGGAACUCAGGACUCACGGCCUCGGCUUCUUCCUCCGGUAAUGAAUUUUCCGUUUUUGUAGUUUCGUAGUCUGUUUGUUUCCCGAGAAAAUCGAGGAAUUUAACCUGAUGAAAUUGUGUAGCGUUAAAAUUCCUGUUCUAAAAUUUCUGUGUUUUGUAGUGGAAGAGAUUGCAAAAUUUAAAUUUAGGAAGCAAAGCAUACAACUGCAAAUCUUGUUGUUAUCAUAUUUAUGGCCCAAACACCAAUUGCUUUGUAUUUCUUUGGUCCUUGCCGUUUCCUAUGAGUUGUGAGAAAAUCACAUGGGUCGGUUUUCGGAGUUUCCAAAUUUUAGUCUUUUCAAGAGAAUAAAGACAUUUAAUCGAAAAGUGCAGGAAAAGUAAACUCAGAGGAUGGUUUGCAAGACAUAGAUUUAGCAUGCUACAGGAGGCAUGUGGAAUAUAGAGCUUAAGGACAUGGAACUCACUAUUGAUUGUCUUUGAAAUGGUUUUGUACUUGAUUUUGGCGCACGCAGUUGAUUUUUUAGACUAUCGGUAAACUAAUUUGGAAUCAAACCUCUCUCAAACAAUUAGAAUGCACAAUGUCACCGAUAUAGGAUAUUAGGUUGCAUCAGUUUGAUCUUCCCCCAUUUUCCAGGUAAAGUACCUUUUCAUGAUAACCGUUUGGGGCAUAAAGUUGGGAAGGGACAACCUAGAACCAAAAUUAUUGAAUGGGAUGAAAGGUGUAGAUUGUAAAACUUGGAUAGUAUAUCUUGUAACGAUUUGAAUGAUAGAGACAGUGAGCAAAUCCAUAUUCGGGGCCUUCAUGCAUGGACUCGAGUGUUCUUUAAUCAUCUAAUCAGAAGCCGAUUGUUUAUACCAGUCAAUCGACGGUCCUCCUAUCACUACUGGCUUUGCCUCAAGUUACAAGUGAAGUUUCAAUUCAGGAUGAUGACCUAUCAUGUUGAAGAUCAACACCAGCCCAAUUGGUGUUUGGAUUCUAGAAGAUUCUAGCAGCAAGUCUAGAGGGCAGAGCUUCCUGAAGACUUGCACUUUGUCCAGGUGCAAUGGAACUAGAUUUUUCUAUAGAAUUAUCUAAAGCUAAGUAGUCUUUUGUAGAAAGGAUUAGAAGGAUGUUUCUUAUGUCGGUGGAAGGCUGUGUGCAUGAUCAAUGCACUAGAAAGUUCUAGUGAUAGUAUAAGUCGGCAAACAUGCCUUAUAAAUAUGUAUGUAUGAGUGUUGUAAUGUAACCAAGAAGAAGUAAGAGAGCAAACCAAGAGAGAGCUAAGUAAGAGAGUGAGAAGCCUUGUAAGUGAGUAGUCUUGUAAAGAGUGUGAGUGGUCUAGAGUUUGUCUCUAGAAGUGAGAGAGUGUCAUACGUUCUAAAUUGUGUCCUUGAUAGUUGUUGUGUUGUAAUAUUCUGUGAGUUAAUACAAGUAAUUUGUUUACUUGUUUUGUCUCUCCAACACUUGUGUUAGAGCUGUGUAUUCUAGUUUUUCCUCAACAUAUCACUUAGGUGGUUAUCCAUAUGGACCAUGUUGUGACAGUUUCAAUAGCUGCGUGUACUCUUUCUUUGCUGUCUUUGGAAUAUUUAGCCUGUAUAGCUGAAUUACGAAGUGUGACUGAAUUGGUGAUUCAGUAAUUACAUGUAUAUGUGGAAAAAAAAUUACUUUUCGUAGGUUGAAGCAAAGAAGCAAACAUUUUCAUCCUUCCAAGAUUUGCUGGCUACCUCUGAAAAACCUGUGUUGGUUGACUUCUAUGCAACCUGGUAAGCUUUUCUUGUGUAUCUCACUUCUUAUUUUGUUUGCAAUUUGUCAUUAUUGUUGUAUUGUCAGCUAAACUUUAAUUCCUAAACAAGGUGGUAGCUAUUCACCUUUUAGGUUUUCCCUCUCUAUAUAAAGGUAAGAAUAGACAAUUAAGUAAUAAACUCUGGUUGACAGGUGUGGACCUUGUCAAUUUAUGGCACCCAUCCUCAAUGAAGUCAGUAUUACGCUGAAUGACAAGAUCCAGGUUGUGAAAAUUGACACAGAGAAGUAUCCUAGCAUUGCUGAUAAAUAUAACAUACAAGCAUUGCCUACUUUCAUCAUAUUUAAGGAUGGAGAGCCAUUUGACCGCUUUGUAAGUUGAAUUUGUUCUCUUUUUUCCUUUGGGAGAUUAAUAUGUUUGCCUUUGGUAGACGAUCAAAUGUCUAGAAAUGUGUAAUCUGUCACAUAACAUCUCAUACUGAUUGCAUGCUUUUUAUACGGCCAGAAUAUGGACGGGUAUUGUCAAGUUGUUACGAUUUGCUGUUAAUUCCACUUUUUAGAUUUUGUAAGAUAUCCUAUGCACUUGCAUUGGUUUACAAUUUCGUCAGGUGUGUUGCUUUGCAUGCUUUUCUUCUUCUUUUGCUUAGUUUUGAUUCGAAGAUGUUGAAUUUUAAGGAUUUAUGUUCUCUUAGAUCCAAAAUAUUAAAUAGAAUAAAUAAUGUAUGUUCUCCGUGCAUGUAUGCAAGGCACUGUUAGAUUAGUUUUGGCGGUUUUUCUUUUUGGUUUUUUGGUCGAUUUUAAAUAUCUAUGAUGACUUUGCUUUCAUUACUUGCAGGAGGGUGCUAUGACUGCUGAUCAGCUUGUCGAACGAAUAGAAACUACUUUGAAAGUUAAGUAGGAGACAGGUGAGCUCUAUAAUAUUCGUGAGUUGAGAGCACUCGUAUCGUCCGCUGUUCUUUCUCUGCUUCCUCCUCCCCAUUUCCUAACCUUUCCUUUUUCUUCACUCUUCAUUUAUUGGUCCAGCUUCUCAGGUUGAACCGAGAAGCUGAUCGAUUCAGCCGCAUUGCAAGAAAAAUGGAUUUUAUGAAGAAAGGCACUGGAUGUUUCCUCUGCUUUUUUAUUUUUUGUAUGUAACUGGUUUGUACCAACAAAAAAGUUACGAGACUUGGCGUAAUCGCACGGGUAAAGCUUAGUGAAAACAAUUUUACGAUGUCAGUUUCUGUUGUGAUAUACACAUCCACAUCAGUUGCAUUUGAUUGAAAUUCAUGAUUUGGAAAAGUUAAUGAAAUUUUGUGGACAUUCAUUUCAUUUGCAAUGCAACUUAGACCUUAUUGGCAAUUGGUUUGUGGACACAAGAUUUACUACUUAAUUUGGAUACCUUGUCAAAUUAGAGUCAAUAAUUAACAAUGGCAUAUCUAGUAAGAAGUUAUUUCUGCAUGCCUCCCUUCCCAUUUCCUACGGCUGUUUAGCUUGCAAGCACACAAAUCAUUUGUAAUAAAGAUAUGCAAAUACGAGAUCAAAUUCAUCGAGAUUGAAUGAACAAUAAUUUGGUAUCUUAUGUUUAGCUGCGGACAUGACUGACCUCAGGAGGUCUCAAUGGAAAAAAUUUCAGAAAAAAUGUAGACAAAAGUAACAUUGAGGAAUUAAAUGAUAAUUCUUUUCAUUCGUAAAUAAUAGUGUAAACAAUGUUAUUACAAUCUACAAAGUCCAAAAUUAUCAUCGACGAGUUUUCAUAUUUUGAAAAUGUUUAUGAUAGUUUCAUACUCAACGAUCAAUCCACAACUCUAAUAACUGAAAUUUGAGAAUAAUGAGUACAAAUAGUGAACUUGAUACACUAGGAAGCUUAAGGAGGUCCCAGAAAGUCCAUAUUCGGGGCCUUCAUGCAUGGACUCGAGUGUUUCUUAAUCAUCUAAUCAGAAGCCGAUUGUUUAUACCAGUCAAUCGACGUCCCAGAAAGUCCGCUCUUCUGCUUCGACGUUGCUGAACCCGCUCUACCAUGGAGACGGCUCCCUCCUCGUCUUCCUACCCAUGGCACGGGUUUAGUCCUCCUUGAUGGUCAGCUAAUGUUCACCUAAGCUUUCGCACUUAGUAAACAAGCCUUCACUAGUUGCCUGGAACAUAACUACUAUUACUAUGAUGAUUAUUACGCCGACCACCACGGCGUUUAUAAUGCUUCUGGUUCUAAUUGGGGUGUAGUAGCCUGUCAACUGUCCAGUACCGAUUCCGAUGACUUCGGAACUUGGAUUAAGCCCAUCCAAAUUCUGGAGCCAAGGUUGCCGAGUGAAUUUUGGGGGCGAUGCACACUUAUAGCUUUGCUCAUCUAGGAGGUUCAAAAGUAUGCUUUGUUCUUUCCAAUCCCAUCUCGCACCCAAAAAAAAUUUGUCUUUGGAAGGUGCGUCUUCUUGUUCAAACUUUUGAGUUUUCCUUCUCCAAACAAAGUACCACCCUCACUAGUGCUGCUUUAUUUUAUUGUUUUUUAUUUUUUGUUUUUUUUGGAAAACCUUAAUGGUAUAAGGGUAAUUUUAUUGAUAACAAAAAAAUAAGUUACACCUAGACAGAAGGGGACAUAAACCUUACCCCUCAUAAAACAGAGACAAUAAAUAGGAAUACACGAAAAAGAAGGGGGAACAUAAACCUUACCCUUCUAGAAAUAAAAAACGAGAAUGAUACAAAGAAAAGAGGGGGGGGACAUGAAACAUAAUCCCUCUAAAACCAAACCUAAAGGUCUAAACUUGCAAAACAAGUCAAACAACCCCAUAAAGUUAGGAGAAAAAAAAAAGUGAGACAAACCUGGAUGCCGACAUGCACAUUAAUUUGAGAAGCAAUAACCAGGCAAGCCAACAUAGUCUGAAAACAAAGCAGCACAAACCGCCAUCGGAGGAGAAUCAUGCCAAGUUAAAGAUGGAGAAGACAAUCCCAUGUUAGCAAAAUUGUCUGCAACAAGAUUUACUUCACGAUGUACAUGAGAUACAUAGAAAGUCAUUUUCCGAAUACGAUCUAAACAAAUAGACCAUUGCGUAUGAAGAGGCCAAGGAGGAUCAAAAUUAGACGAUUGAAGAGCAUAAAUAACACUAGAACUAUUACUUUCAAACCAAAGACAAUGCCAACCCUAUUGAUAUGCAAACUCAAUACUAAUAAUAAUUGCUAAUAACUCUGCAAAAAAAAAAAAAAAAGUUGCGAUGACCAAUGCAUUGACAGAAACCUCCAAGAAAACAACCAUGACAAUUCCUGAAAAAUCCUCCACAUGUAGCAGGAUCAGAAUUUCCUUUAGACAAACCAUCUGUAUUAAGCUUAAACCAAGGAAACCAAAGGACAGGAAGAAUAGUAGGUGCCUUGCGAGGGAUAGGUUGGAUCCCCAAAGAAGAAAUGAUCCGAGUGUCAAAACCUUGAGAAUAACCAGAAAUAAACUUCCCACCAUGAACAAUCGCCGAAUUGAUAGAAAUGCAAAAGACGAUGAAAAUAGAUUGGACGACCCUAAAAAAUAAAUUUAUUUUGAGCCUUCUAAAUAGCUGAAAUAGUAGAAAGACCCGCAAAAAUCCAUAGAUUGUGCAACUGUUUGGAAAAUGGCUUACAGACAUAGACAUCCCAAAAAACAACCAAAGAAUCUGAAAGAGGCAAAAAUGUACCAAAUUAACAUACUAACCACCUCCAAAGUUGCCUAGAUAUCUGACAUCCAAUGCUGCCGAUGAUGGUGAUGAUUAUAAUUAUAAUGAUGGAGGCUGCGAUUCAAAAAGAUCAUUCGAUUUCUCCUCUUUCAAAGCCGACAUCCUCUCCACUCGCAACUUUGAAUACGAUUGGUGCGGAGAAUCUUUUGAGACUGCUCACGCAGCCGUGCUUGGUUGCUUUGCCCUGUAAGUUUCGUCGGUAAGGUUAACUUUCCAAUUCUAUCCCAUUUUCUGUAUUUGCUUUCUCCUGCGUGCGGCCUUAACUUGUAACUGUACUACGUAGGAAAGCAUUAGUCAAUGUAUUUCCUGUGCACACACUAUCACUUGAGGAACAAGUUCGACUGCAUUGUUUGCGAUUUAAGUCAAUCUAGACCCUGCAUUGCAACUCGCAUUGGGUCUUACUGGAACUACUUACAGCGAGCAUGCAAAACCCCCUGCGUGUUGAUUGAGGUUCUGAGGGGGAACACUCCAUCAAGCACGUUGAAGAUAUGGUCUGUAGCAGCAUUGCUUGGAAAUUGGAAAUUGGAGAUCUGCCUAGCUAGCUACUAUUUCUGUGUCUAGCUCCUCAUGUAGUUUUCUGUUAGGUAAUUUUUUUUUUUUUUUAAAUGGAAGAACAGGCAUUUUAUUAAAUAAAAAAAAAUAUUUAGUCAUAUUUUUAGGCUUAUUAUAUUUAUACCCUACAUAUUGUUGAAUAAACCUUAUAUACUUAAUACACCUCAUAUUUACUUUUUCAAUUAAAAUUUAUCUUAAUACACCCCAUUUACUUUCCCAUAUUACCCUCCCACCCCCAUUCUCAACAUACACCUUACAUUUUCUAUAUACACCCCAAAUUUUUUAUAACUCAGUCACAAUCAAGAUUGGAGGAAGAUAAGGCUGCUGAGACUUUGUUGAAGGUGGCAGACGAGGUUAUACGCUGAGGUUUAAUGACAAAAAUUCGAGGGUAAAAGCAGCAAGGGAAAGGAGAACAAUUAGAGGGUCUCUUGUAAUGUGAAUGGCACUAGGACUUUGCCCAGAUUGGCAAAAACGUAGCUGAAUGUUGAUGUAGUUUUAUUGCAUUUUCAGAUGUAUGAAAAAAAAAAACAUAUUUAUUUAUUGGUGUUGAAUUGCAGAACAAAGAUUGUGUUUAGCCAUUUUAUUACUAUUAUCAUUUCUUUAAAUUGGGGUUAUGCCGUGAGAUGAUAUACAUAAGGAAAUAUUGUUAAUUUCUUCGCACUCCAUUCAAGUUCUAACCUUGUAGUUUCAUCAUUUUGCUUGCCUUUGCUGGGAAGACAAAAAAAAUAGAUAAAUAAUACGUUAAAAGUGAUUUGAGGUUUAUUCAGAAUUUUUUUAUAUUUUUAAAAAACUAAUAAGGUCAAAAUUGACAUUGUAUAGAGUGUAUAAGUUAUUUAAUAUCGAAUUUGAAUGUGAGGUGUAUUUAUCAGUACGGAUGUGUACAUCUUUUAUUGGCACGGAAGUACUUAUCGAUUAUGCAUUGAAUUUUUUAGUAAUUUAAUUCAAAAUGUGAAGUAGCUUUUGUAAAGUUACCGAAAGCGCCGUGACGGAGAUGAAGAUGGAAAUGGUGUAAAACUUUUGACGAGUUGAACCGAAAGCGCCGUGACGGAGAUGGAGGUGGAGAUGGAGAUGAGGGCCGGGGAAGAAAUAGAGAUAGGACAAGACAUAACGCCACCGCUCCCUCCGCUUUCUUCCUCUCUCCACCACUCCCUCCUCUCAUCUCACUGCUCUUCCUGCUUCUCCCCUCUCCCUCCCCAACCCUUCCCUCCCCUCUUUACUCCUACCUUUCCCAACACUCCCUCCUCCUACUACUGCUCCUCCCUCUGCUCCUCCGCCGAUUCUCCCCUCCACGUCUCCAGCGCCGAGCCCUACCUUCUCCUGCUUCUCCAAUCCCACCCCUCCGCCUACCCCAACGGCGACUCCUCCGACCUCCGCGCCGCCCUCCGCCUCCUCCAAUCCCUUCCCGCCACCUCCCCCUACCCUCGCGUAGCCGGCCUCCUGACGAAUCGCCACAAACUCCUCCACCACCACGACCAUAGGGUUCGCGACGGCGCCAGAGCCAUGUUCCUCGCCAGGAAGAUGCGGGAUGAAUCUCCGAAUUUCUCUAUCGAUGCGACUAUUGCCAACGUUGCUCCGCACGACGCCGUAUUGGAGGAGGCCGUGCUGUCAUUGGUGCUAACGAACGCCGUGGAGGUGCAGGAUAAGACCGGGCGCACCCUUGGAAUUUCCGUCUACGGUCCCAGCUUCUGCUGGAUCAACCACAGCUGCUCCCCGAAUGCUUGCUACCGCUUUUCUUUGAUGACACCGCCAACGCCACCUUGUUGGCCCGAAACGGCGCUGCUGCGCAUUGUCCCCUUCGGCCGCUCCUCCGGUCGUGCCACACAAGUAAUCCCUGCAAAUUUGCACCGUUUGUUUAAUUUAUAGUGGAAUAAGAUUGAAAUUCAGGGUUGUGAGAUGGAUAUUUGUUGCAGAUUGAGAAUGGUGUUUGUAGCAAUAAUGUGUUAGCAAAAGGUGUUGUGGUUUUUUUAAGUUUUCGUGCUUCUUUUCGGUUUUUGUUUGUUUGAAUUAGUACACCAAAUUUACCAGUAUUAUUGAACCAUUCGUGUAUAUUACGAAUGUAGAAAGCCGAGGUUAUGGUCCAAGAGUGACGGUUAGGAGCAUCAAGAGAAUCAAGAAAGGCGAAGAAGUGACUGUUACUUACACUGAUUUGUUGCAGCCUAAGGUAUCUGCAUUUUAUCUAUAUACACAUUAUACAUGGAUCAGCGAUUGGAAUUUUGAAUUCAUAUAAUCCACAUCUGUUUUGUCAAGUUAACUGAGCGAUGUUUCGAUGACUGUGAGAUGAGAAUUUGCUAGUGUCAUUUUCUGCUUAUUGUCCCUGUCUUAGGAAACUAAACUUGAUGAGACAAUGCAAGGCAAUCCGACUUCUUUCCACUUUAGGGAUUAGCUAAAUCUUGCCCCAUUUGACUUUUCUUUUACUUAUUUCCAAUUUUAAUUGUGUUGAUGUUAUAUUUUAAUCCCUUUCUUUUAACGUCACAUUUUCUUUUCUUCUCAUGAGCUCCUCCAGGCAAUGAGGCAGUCAGAGCUAUGGUCAAGGUAUCGGUUUAUCUGCUCUUGUACGCGAUGUAGUGCAUCACCCCUAACCUACGUGGAUCAAGCUUUGGAGGUGGCAAUUCAUGAAAACUUUUUCUUUCUUUCUUGAUAUUCUCAAUUAAAUACUAAUUCUUAAGUCUAUUUGGAGUUCUUCCGUAAUAUCUUUAUACUAUUGAUUUUACAGAAAUUAUAAAUGCACUAGGAUAUUUGUACUUCUAGAUUCUUGUUUUUGUAUCCCCCCCUGUAUAUAGUUUGGCCUUCACUUUGAACAAAAGCUCUUUUUCAACUUGAACAUGAAUUACCUCCUAACCAUUUUUCUUCCUCUCUGGCAGUCAACUUUAUUUCCUAGGAUGUAGCUAAUGUUCUUAUUGGUGUUUUUUGAAUAAUCAUUAACCUUCGGUUUCAAAACUCCAGGAAAUAUUUGCAGUCAAUUCCAACUCCUCCAGUUUGAGUUUAGAAAUAAACUUCAAUAGAGAUAAGGCAACGCAAUUGUUGAGUGUUUACUUUGAUGAUGCUAUUGACGACUACCUGUCGAGUGGCGAUCCUGAAUCUUCUUGUGAGAGGCUUGAGCAUGCGUUCACACAAGGACUCUCUGAUAUGCAAUUAGAUUGCAACGGAGAAACAUCUCAGCUGAGAUACUGGUUGCACCCAUUAAAUUACCUCUCCCUAAAUGCCUACACAACAUUGGCUUCAGCGUAUAAAAUCCGUGCAACUGACAUGAUAGCUUUAUGUUCUAAAAUGGAUGAUCAUCUGUUAAAAGCUUUGAACUUAAGCAGGACUAGUGCAGCAUACUCCUUACUACUUGCUGGUGCAACUCACCAUCUGUUCCGCUCUGAAUCGUCUCUAAUUGUAUCUGUUGCAAAUUUCUGGACAAGCGCAGGGGAGUCAUUGUUAACUCUUGCUAAAAGCUCAGUCUGGAGUGAGUUUGUCCACCGGGAUCUGCCUGUGUCAAAUCCAUGUUCCACUGCAAGUUAUAGAUGUCCAAAAUGCUCAUUGAUAGACAAAUUUGAAGCUUGUUUAUUCUAUGGUCAAGUUCAACAUGCAGAUUUUGACGAUGUCUCAAGUGAAUUCAUUGAUUGCGUCUCUAACUUUACACAGAAUGUUUGGAAUAUUUUGGCUCUCAGUUGCCAGUACCUUAGAUUGAUUAAGAGUCCUAUUGAUUUCAGUUGGCUUGGUACCACAAAAGAUUCCAGUGUAGGGGAAGUUCUGAUUCGGUCUAGUGGCACUAAAGCGGGUUCUUGUGGGACUGAGAGAAGCAUUUCUGGAAGUGAAGCAGAGGGAUACACAGCCCAGGUACGGAUAUGUAUUUUUAAGCUCGGUGUCCAUUGCUUACUAUAUGGAGGAUAUCUAGCGAGCAUAUGUUAUGGUAAUUCCCAUUUGACCUGUUAUGUUCGUAAUAUUUUAGAUAUGGAAGGGAUAUUAUUGAAUCCUUGUCAUGAACCAAAUUGAGUUUGAGAUCUUAGAAGUUAAAUUAUUCCUGUUUUGGUGUUAAUUGCUGUGUUAUUAUACUCGUUAAGAAUCUGUUAAAAAUGUUGGUUGCAUAUAUCGUCUUCUCUGCUUGUGAUUUUUCGCCUCGAACUCUAUUCGUCUUGCAUGAUGCCCCAAGGAAUCAGCCACACGUAUCAGAAGUUUGUGUCAACGGAUUCAAUUUGAUAGACUACAGUGGGUUUCAAAAUAGAAUAAUCCGCUAUAGCUGUUUCAUAUAUCAUUUCGGUUCAGUCAAAUUAAAGAACCAAAAUUGAAAUCACAAUUGGAUUCGAUUUGGAAACAUCUGAAAUACAAAAUUGAAACCACAAUCGAAUUAAAGAACAAAAAUUGUCAUCUCCUGAUGCAUCCCUGUUUCUAUUUGUGUUCGUGUUUGUGUCAAAAAUACAUCGUAAGAAUGUUAUAACAGUUGCAUACUUAAAGCGACGCCCUACUGAAUGUUACAAUAGAUGCAUACAAGACCGUCGCUAAUGUCAAUGUUUCUUCUUUUUGUUGGACUUUGAGUUGGAGCCAUGCUCAUUUUUAUGUCGCUUUUCCCCACUCUUGUGACUCUCUCUCUGUUUUCCUUUAUCCAUUUUGUUUCUACUUGAUUUCACGCUAACGAGACCACCAGCAGGUAGGUUUGCACCGCCAUUCUGUAAUGCAUUCUCAAAGUCUGCAUCUCUGUCCCCAAUCGCGUACUGUUGAAGCAACUUGGGAUCUAAUGACCCCUCCGAGUUGGAUCUCAUCCCAUCCUGUAUGUGCGUAGUCAAGUCAGCCCAACUCUUGGGAUUCAGAACGCGGGAAAGAGAGGCAGUUCAGGUAACACGAAGGUAAGGAAGGAAUAAAGCGUACCUCAACUUUUCUUGCAGCAUCAUUGAGAUCAUCAUCAACAGAGAUCUUGUGAGGUUCCAAGAGAGUCUGAACCAAAAUUUCCGAAUCAGAGUGGAGUUACAACAUAGGCAGAAGAAAAGCACAGUAGCAUACAUACACGCACGCACGCACAAUUAUAAUGUGAUAGACGAUGUUUAAGCUUGCAUUAAGAAACACAAUAAUGUAAACUUAGCGAUUACAUAUCAAACAAAAUAGUUCAGGUACCAAAGUGGCUCACGCGCAACACACAUGUCAAUAUCAUAUAGUUAAGCCAACUAGAAUCAUAAUGCAUCCUACGACAUGAAAUUAUUAGAAAGAGAUGGAAACCACCAACAUAUCAUGUACUUUCCAUAAGAAAAAAAAGGGUUACUGCUUUGCUGAACUUACUUCUUUUGGUUUAGGCAAGGUUGACACAAGGCCCUCAGAUGCAAUAGCGUAUAGAUAUUUGUGAAACUUUUUCAUAACUUUUAUAAACAGAGACAAUAUUUGCUGCCUUUCCAGUUUCAUCAACCCCUGGAAAACGUGAAUGUAAGUAAAAAUCUACACCUGAUAAGAAUGAAAUAAAGAGCAGAAAUGACGCCACCAAGUAGAGUGUUUUGUCUUUGCAAGUGGGUUUGAUUGCGUGCUCGCAUUGCAUCUAUGUGACUGGUAUAGCCAAGCAAACCAUAUGAGUAACAAGUAGAGAAACAAACCUCAAUAUAGGAGAUAUCUUGAUUCUGUAAGCCAAUGCAGAGCAAUAUGGAAGCCUGGGCACCUGUCAAUGUCACUGGAAGUUUCUCUUGGAAAUACAGAUGUGAAAGCGUUGGAACAAGAUCCAAAAUCUGUAAAAUAAAAGCAUAACUUUAACAUGUGUAAAGUUAUAAACAAACGAUAACUAGAGUACAAGAGGACCUCAGUUUAGAAAAUGACACUUAAUUUCAAAUUCAAAUGGACCCCAGGGUUUAAACUGUAAUUUUAAAAACAAUUCGCAGGUAAUUUGAAGAAAGUAAGGUCUGUUGGUUAAGGAUGAAAAUGCAAUAAGCCCUCGGAUCCCUCCUCCCCACUAUCAUCUAUGCCUAACAGGAGGAAGAACAUCUUGACACAUUCAAACUGGCAGCCUUUCCCAAAAAACAGAAGGAAGCAGAUAAUCCACUCAAACCAUAAUCAACAAAAAUGGACGACAUGCCAUUGACCAGGAUGCACUGCACCUUCCUGAGAACCGCACAACAAAUGGGUUCACCUCCCUCAGGGGCAUACCCACAAGGGGGUGGGAUUGGGUGGGAGGGGAAGAGAAGGGGUCUAAUAGCCUAAUCGCUGUUGAUUUCAUCUUUUUAUGUAACACAGAGCACGGGAUGAAACAUCGGCCACAGAAUCCUACACACAAAUUACUUGUAAAGUACACAAAUUCCCCUUCUCAAACAAGCAAUUUUGAACUUUUAAUGUGUAACUGAACAUAUAUAUACAUAUAAUUAGAUCAAUAACUAAACACAAUGUCCUAAUAGUUCACUUUUGAAAAAGAUUAUUCAUAAAACAUUGCAAGAGUAAUAUAUGUUCACAAUCAUGGUAUCAGAUUGUCCACAGUAAGAAAACAAAUAUUUCACCACUGUCAACUAAAAAUUGUAUCACAAUCACAAUCAUAUUGCCACACUGAGACGAUAAUUCUAUCACAAAGGAAUACAAUUUUUCUUUUGUAAUGCAAUAUUACUUUCUUUUUCUAAAGGAAAGCAUAUUUUGUCUUGUAACGCAAAUAUCUUUUUUGAUUCUAAGGGAAGUAUUUCUUGUUCUGUAAUGCAAACAUUACUUCUAUUUUUAAUAUGAAUGUAUGGAAUCAAUUAGUAAUCCUAAGAUAAAAAAAUCCCAAAACACUACAUAGCACUAUGACAGGGCAAGUUGGCAAUCAACCAUUGUUCAGAGAACUUACCAUAUGAAAGUCAGCAAGACUGCUGGUGUAGGCCUCCAGUCGCUUCAUAUCAUAAGGCGAAAGUAAGUCUGUGAUAGACCGUAAGAAUCCAUCUGUGGUAGACGAUUUGGGUUCUCCAUCCUUGUAAUUGAUCUUAGGAUCUAAGAUGCUGGAAAAUUAUUAGUUAGUACGAGCACUUGAACAAUAAGCAUUUAUCAGAAUGGAACUUUUAAUAGUACCUCAUAGCGAGCCUAUAAUCCAUUGUACGAAAACUAUAACCCAAUAGUCUCAAAAAUCUUCUCCUGAAAUCUAGGUAGCCAACAAAUAAUCAAGCUGUGAACUGAAAUACAAAAAAUCUGCACAAAUUUAAAUAGAACAAAGGUUUUCCAAAGAAAAAUGGGCCCACCUAGGUUGAAUGGACGAAAAUCACUGGUUUCAAGUUCAUCAUUCUUCAAAGAUUUGAGGACCAUACACGUAUGCUCCCCGGUCACACCACUCUAUUACAUUGAAAAGAAAAAUGAAAAAUUAUUGUUUAAUCAGUCAUUCAUUCACAAAUGAUAAUAUUCAAAAAAACAGUAAACGGAAAAAAGGAUUCAGUAUGGAGAGGGGAAUCCAUCUUAACUGGAAUAUGUCCAAUAUAGAAUGGAGCAAACUUAUGUUUCCACCAAAACCUGAAAAGGUCCAAGGUAAGCCCAAAGGAGACACCAAUAUAAUGGAGCUUCUCUGGUCGCCUUUCACGAAGAUGAACAAGCAAAUGAGGAAGAUCUGUUCUAGGUUUUAUACUUUCUUCCAGCAAUGAAACCUAUAAAUAAAAUAGACAUAGGUAUCAUUCCGAUAAACAAUAUCAAGGCACAGGCGGCAGGUUGAUUAAUACCAAACAAACAAACCAAUACAUGAUAAUAUACUUUGAUGUCAUUAUGAUUAAAAUUAACACAACAAAUGAUCAUUCACAAAAGUUUGUCAAAUUAUAUUCAAACACAGAAAUUGUUCUACAAUCACCGGAAUGAAGCUUAACCAACUCAAACACUUCGACAGAACAAGAAUUGCAUUACCAGAAACCUAUGAGUUACAAAAUUGCCUCCAAUUGCAAUAAUAAUACAUAGAAUAGUCUCGUAUAAGCAGUUCUCCAACCUAUUAAUUAAAAAUAUUUAUAAAAAAAAAAAAACUAAGCUUGGUGAUUGUAGUUCACCUUCUCAGCAGCUUCUGUGACUCUGAGUGGGGGAGUCUCAACAUCUUCAACGUCCAGUUCAGAAAUAGGAGCAAACUGUCCUUCGUAGUACCUGAGGAGAAAUAAACCCUUAACACCCAUUUUUUCAAAUAUAAAAACAUAAAUGUGAAGCAUCAACUUUUAGAACCAAAGAGAUUCAGUGCAAUUUUCAUGUCAAAACACUUUUAUCUCAAUAAUGAAGUACUUAUGAGUUACAUUGAUACAAGAGCAAUGCAUCCCACAUAUCACACACAUUCCUUAUAUCUGGAUCCCCAACAAUAGCAAUCCAAUGUCACCCACAUAGCACAUGAUACAUACCAGAGGUGUCCCUAGAAUGUCCACAUCAGCCAUUCCUUAUAUCUGUGUCCCCAAAAACAUUUGCAGUAAAAAGUACAUGGACUUAUGAGCACAAAGGGAUAACGGACAUGUAUGGGUUGACUUGAGAGAUAAACCAAGUAAAGUAAGUUCAAGAAAAAAUCUAGGACCAAAUAGGAUACAAGGUCAGAAUCAGUGUGACCCAUCUAAAAAGUUAGGACCCCACAUUAAUUUGUGCAGUCAACAACGAGGAUCCAUCUUUGGAUUAUUAUCCUAAAACGCUCUAUCUUUGGAUUAUAUCCUAAAGUGCUGCUGGUUAAGCUUGUUUCUGGUUUUUCUCUGUUGGAAAUUUCAAUUACUAACGAAAUAUCCAAUCUUCAUUUAAACAUACAGAUUUAAACUCAACUGUUGGCACUGCAGACUCUUGGCCAUUGUUGGGAUUGAAAUAAGCUAGAGUUUCUCAAGAUAAAUGCGGAUGAGGUGGGUUUUAUUUGAGAUAGCGAAUUCCAUGUGUUUGUGGAUUUAUUGCCAAAGCAAUUUGGGAAGAUCCCUGCUGUUUCCUCCAGAUGGAUGGGGUUAUAAUUUCAUUGUAACUUUUCUGAAGUAAGUUUUAGUUGGACUCCUUUUCUUUGCAAUGGACAACUUCUCCUCCUUUCCUUUAGAAAAUGCUUUGCUUUGCUGAAUUUUUCGUAACUCUUAGAAAUGUAACCCAAACUAAGAUGAAAACCCCCAACAUGACCGUAUUUUAAUAUGCUAUCACUUCUAAUCCUCUAUAUCUUUCCACUUGUUUCUCCAACUACCAUCAUAUGACUCGAGAGUUGUAUUGUGAGAAAGUCAUCUGUAUAUCAAAACUGAAAUCAAAUGAUCAUCUCUUCAGCACCCACAUGGUCUAUGUUCUAUAGCUUUCAACCCAAGUGAACUGAAAGCAUGAGACUCACAUUUUGAGUUGCGACUUUAUGUGCCUGAGCCAGGGUGCAUAUGCAUGAUUGCUUUUCAUUCAUUUUAGAAAUCAUUUGAAGCAUUGCUUCAGACAUAUAAUCUUCAAUCUUUUCACCUUUUUUUUUAUGACAAACAGUAGCGUUAGUGGGUUAAAAGUUUAUUUGUUAGGGGGAGGGGAAUCGAUGGGCAUCAAACCCGCACCAGGGUGCAUAUGCAUGAUUGCUUUUCAUUCAAAGUGUAGCAAUAUGGGGCUAAAAGAAUCACUCAGUCAAUCUUUCUCAACACCUUAGGCAUCCACAUACACAUUGGGAUCAUGUAUGUGAUCUACAAAAACGUUUAGGUGGGGAAUAACUCAAAGAGGAGCAUACCUUGUCAAUAGUUCCACUGCUUGUGAUCCAUAUCCAAUCUACAACAACGAAAAAUAAAUUACCAUUUCAACAGAUCCCUGGUUAUAGAUUACCAUUUCAACAAAAUCCUGGUUAUACAUAUUGCUUUGGAAACCAUAAUGAGAGAAUACCUUCAUGGCACUUGGAUGUGUAGCAAUUCGUACAAUCCGAGCACCUGAAAGACUGGGAAAAACUGUGUCCUGAAAUUGCUCACAGAAUUUCCAUGGUAUCUGGUCACCAGAAGGCUGAUGACCAUCACUUAAACUUUUCAUUGCAGAUUCACGAGAGAUCUUUCCCUCAAGGCAGACCUAAGAACAAAAUGAUAGCACAUAAAAUGUUGAGCAUCAAAGAAUUAGUGUUUUAUAGAAGAUGAAGUACGUGUUUAAAGUGUUGUCCUUUAUUGCUAUUUCACAUAAGGUAAAAUUAUAAAUAAAAAAACUAAUAAAAUUUUGGGUAUGCGUUAAAUAACUAAAAGAAAUAAUAGUCCUGAACUAGGGGAAGACAGUCAAACCUGAAUGACACACAAAAUAUCAGGAAGCUGAUUUUUUGACUCAUCAACAGGGCCUGCACGUGCAAAUUAUAAUCAAGUCCAGCCAAAUAGCGGCAAAAAAAGAAAGACCAGUUCUAACGUAACAUAUAUACCAAGUAGCACAAACAGGUGGUGAGCCGGGGCAUCAGCCAUUAGUUGCAAAUCAUUUGGAGAAUUUUUGUAGUGGGAGGCAACAUAUAGAGCCAUCAUCCGCUGCAAGUAUUAGAAUAUGUAAGUUCACUAAUAUGAAAAUGAGAAUCACUAGUCUGACAUUACUUGAACAUGUAAUUACCUGUAAGAACAACUCGCUAUCUUUAUGAUAUGAAAAAAGCGUAUCACAGUUUACGUAGUACAGAUCGCACUCACUGGGUGCAGGUAACCUAGCCGCCAAGAGAGAGAGAAGAGAGAGAGAGAUCAUUAAUAAAGGUAAGGGUUAUAAUGGAGAUGGUUACAUCUUCCUCGGUUCUGACUGUCUAAGCAAAUGUUUUUACCCGUUAAGUUUAGGGAUAUAAUUUGUGAUAUCCAAGCAAAGUAAACCAUGAAGCCAGGAUUCAAUCGGAUCACCAGAAGCAUAUCUGAUAGAUUCUUUCAAUUCUAUCUUUUUGAAAAGACGACCUACAAUCAGGGACAUUUAUCAAUUCAGAAAAUUAUGUCCAAAUAUCACAAAAUAGUUUUUAAAAAAUUAUACAUUGCUCACUUGCAAGCGCCAACAGUUCAAGUAUUUCAGAAACAAUAAUGUUAAGAGAAAGCAGAAGAAACAUUGAAUUUUGAAAAUAAAUUCAAGUUUUGGGGGGAAAGGGGGAUUUUGAUCCAACCUAAUUCAAGAUGAGAAUACAAAACACGGCCAAUAAGGAAUAAGCAUACCAGAUGUAGGCCCCUUAGCAGACACUUGGCUUUGCUCUUCCAAUUGCUGUAGAAGUUUUAGGGACAAAGACCGACCAGUACCUUCAUAGCUUUCAGUGUAAAAUAAAUGUCCUUUAGUAUUUAAAUUGCACUUAGAUUUUUUUUUUUUUACCAAAAGUUGAAUUCAGAGUUGACUUAUAAAUAGAAAGACAUCAAGCAUGAGUCAAGGAAAAGUGGAAACAGCCCAUGAAAAGUGAAAGAUCUUUCAUUCCCCCCCGCGGCCGUAACAGAAAGUGAAAAAGUGAAGUGAAAUAUGUUUCAUGAGACUGUUAAAACCAAAAAAGAACACAUGAUAAGAAUACACGACAUGAAGGAAGAAGAACAUGGAUGAAUCUUACCCAUUAACAGUAGAUGAAAGGAAGACCAGAUAAGGACCAAGCAAAGACUUCACUACUGGUAGUGGAAUAGCAGCUGCUUCAUCAACAACCAACAGUUCAACUUGGGAAAGCUUUUCAUGCUCAUGUGGCCGUAUAUACUGCAAGUACAAGUAACAAAAGUAAAAAACAAAUAGCCCCAAAAGCAAUGAGCAGUACAAAGUUCUUUCUUUUAGGCUACAUGAGGUGUAAAGGUCUAGACCACCUCACAAUCUCACAGGCAUGUUGAGUGCCUCUAUACCAUACAUACUGGAUUAGUGCCAGGAAGACACAUUAGGUUGACCAAAAAGUUUGGCGUUUCAGGAACAUGCUUUUAGAAGCAAGCUUCAGUAAUCACAAACCAUCUAAAUUAUGUUCAAUAUGCUCACACCAAUAACAAAAAUGAUGCACUUGGGCAAAAGUACAAUAGAAUUUUUGGAGUAGUCAAACAAAGACAACCACUAAUCAUAUAUGAGGGCAUACGACAUUUGAUGGGCAAAAGGUGAACACACUCAUGGCUAUUGUGAUGCGGCUAUCCAAUAGAAGAAUAUUCUCUAUUACAACUUGGUUAUCAACUUUUCAUGAGUAACAAUUCCUCCAUGUAUUUGUAUUUUGGUAUCAACUGACUAAACAAAAUCUUUAUUGCUAUUUUUUUAUAGAAAACGAGAUUUUAUUAAACAGCUAAAAAACAAUACAACACUUAGUGGACUAGGAAGUCCACCAUCAAAACGAAACAGCCCUGACAUAUGCCUCAACAUUCACCUCCAUCAUUAUAAAACAGAUCUGCAACUAUCUCACUGCAACUCCCCAAUCCAACAAAAUUACAUAAAAUGAAAGAUCCCAAAACCUUGGAGAGAGAGAAGCCAUAAGAAUGCCCAAUUCUUUCCCAAGAAUUCUCUUGUAAAUCCCCACUCUAAUUUUCAAAGGUUGCAAACUUGAAAUUAACAUAGAAGGUAACUGGCUUCAGAGUCAACUAGGAUAAUACUGGGCAUAUAUGCAGAGAGUAGGCAUAGUAGCAACUUUCAGGGUAUGGAAUAAUACAAAAGGAAAGGGAAGACCACAGAAUUCUCUCAGUCAUCUUAACUUGAUUUGGUACUAAGAAUAAGUUAUGUAUACACUUCCCACUGGCCCAUCUGUACGUUAAUAUAGAAAUAGAUUAUAUCCUGGCAACAAGGAAGUGAAAUACUCCUAUUUUUAUAUCAAUAUUGGGCACAAAUUAAGAGUUCAUCAAUAUAAUUUUACCUCAAUUGUAACCAACUGUGCAUAUAAGUUUACCUGAAUUGUUUGUCUGUGCUGCUUGUAUAUAUUGAUCUGUACAGUUGCUUUCUUCAACAAAGGGUCACUACUUUUCUGUACAUCAUAAUCUAUAUGUUCCUGCAAACAUAGUUUACAACUGUAAGCUCAAUAACUAGUGCACUGUUCGAAGUACAUGAUUGAAAAAUGAAGAAAACGGAGUGACCUUAUAACAAUUAAUGAAAGAUAAAAUGUAGUUCACAGAAUAAAACAUUCAAACACCACCAUCUUGAUAGUUAAACAAUUUCACUGUAAAAGCUAUUAAACUUAGCAGGAAAAAAAAUUUAAACUUUAUCUAACAUUUGAAUCUACAAUUUUCAAUUAGCAACUCUUGUCACAAAUGUUUAUUAGUGGGGUACGUUCUAAGAUAUUGUUAUUUGCUAAUUGUCGAGGAUUAUUUGGGAGUUAAAUCUCACAAGAAGGCGUAAAGAUCACAUUAGAAUUAGAUAUUUUACUAGGAAGCUAAAGAUCACAUUAGAACCACCCGCAGGAAUACAAAAAAACGACAUACCUUAUAGUCCAGUUGAUCAAAACCCUUGCAAACAAAUUCGAACAAGGUUCUUAAGUUCUCAGGGCUGGGUGCAGUUACAAAUAUAUUUGAAUACCUGUGAAGAUAUAUUUGUAUCGUCAAAACAUAGUACAUGAAUAUGAGUGUAGACAGCUACACAUACACCAAAACAGUUUUAAUACAUUGUAAAAGGCAUACUACCCUGCAGCAAUAGCUCCGGAAAUUGCCAAACCAAGUGCAGCCGAUUUUCCACGGCCUCGAGCAGCAAGCAAGGCAACAGUACUUCGGAGUGUCUUGUCCAAGAUUGCAUCAAGAAAUGUAGCAACAGCAUUUCCCUGUUGAAACAUUUACCAACUCAAACUAUGAGUCAUAUUAGUAAAUCACACAUGAUAGAAAAACUCAAAACUAAUACAAAUCAGAGAGAGUGCCUACCUGGUCCAACGUACAACAUUUCUUUAUUAAAGGGCCAACAGGAAAGGCAUCACUCAGCUGCUCUUUUAGAUCCUUCAGUUCCCUUUGUGACUCUGAUAUCCCUUCAGAGUCCUUCAAUCAUGAUCAGAAAACAAGAAAAAAGUUAUCAAAGUUAUCAAAGCUUCACAAACUCCUAGAAAGUAUCCUAAUAACCAUUCGGUAUACACACACUUGAAAAAUUACUUUUAUUCUUUUUGUCAUCUCGCAUAAGAUGCCACGAAAAUAAAGCAUUCCUCGAUUUAUCAGUUCCGUCCUAUAGAAAAGUUACAAGGCUAAAAGGUUACCUCUUUCACUGGAACUGGGGUAAUUGACCUCAUAUGAGAUGAAAUUGGUAAAAUAUUCAGCUCAUCAUCCAUUACUACACAUGAUUUGCAUGACGCAAGUGACAAUAAGAAACGCUCGUUAAAACGUCCAGUAGCCUUAGAAUGGGAUUCAGUUCGAAACCUAUCAUGAACAUCCUGAAAUCAAGAGGCGCUGAUAAGACUGUAUGGAGAUUUUUGCAUUUGAGAGAACGAGAAAGACAGUGUUGCAAAUAAAACAUGACAUAACGGAAUUGUUAUCAAAUAUAAUAUGUGGUGCAUGGCUAUUGCUAUAUUCGUUCUAAGUCCAUAAUGUAGUAAAACUAGAAACUACCUCAACAAGAAGAACAAAUAUUAUGAGGAAACCUAGUUGUUUUUUCUUCUUCUUUUUGGGGCUAGAACAUGAAAAGAAACAACUAGUCUACAUAGGCCCAACUGGGAAACUUAUAUGUUCAGCAGCAUUCUCUUAAAGAAAGUCAAGCAAUUGAAUCUACCAAAAGUCUUCUUGUAGCCAAGCACAUCAUUACGAAAAAAUUCGGAAACUUUUAACAUGGCUAGUUUUCAAGAUUUUGCGGUAUAUAAUAAGCAUAACCAUGCUGGCCUAAAAACUAAGCAUUAAUUGUGUGCAUGCGUAAGAGAAAGAGGUAUUAUUAUAUGCAUACCAUAACCAUGGUGUAGAGGUUGGUGAGUGAGGUUAGAGAAUGAAGCAACAAUAUGACUAGUCCACCUCCCUCCACUGUCUCUAUCGUUCUUGCUAGUAGAUUUGGAGUCAAGGCCUCAAAAUCCUAAUGCAGGAGAUCAAACUUAGUCAUAAAACUUAAAUCAAUUAUACAAGGGGUCUUGGCCAAACCAGUAAAUUUGUAAGUUUCAAGUUACCUGAAGUAUACACAUUCCAAAGGUAUUACCAAGAACUCUUUCUGAAUCCUUGUACAAGCAAUAAGUCAAUCCCCCACUUUCAACAAAAAGUGAGAAAGGAUCAACCUUCUCGGGAUCAAGCAGCCCCCUCUGCAUCAUCUUUUUUACUUGCUUAGCACGUUUUUUCUUGUGACUGCAUCAUGAAGUAGUCAAACGCAACGAAUCAAUAUAUUUUAAAAACGAAAUUCCGCCUUGCCUUAUAAUAAGGUGAAGAAUGGAAGGUAGAAGAAAUCAACCUGCUGAGCUCGAGCUUGUCCUUGUAGCACCACAACACAGUCGGGCGCGAUUUCUUUACUUCAUUGCUUAGCAUAUAAUGAAGAUUCACAAUCUGAAGACCAUAUAAAACUCCAUAUUAGCCAUUUUCCGUUAGUUUUCGAUAGAUUUUCGAUGAUAUUUCUUACCUUGUUUGAGGUUUUUAGUGUUACUCGGUGAGUAUUGCAGGUGAAAACAAGAAACAGUAAAACUGGUAAAAUUUUCUACCCAAUUCAAUUUAAAUCAUUGUUAUAACUCCUCAAAUUGAAUAGGAAUAGCAAAUAGGGAAUGGGAUAGGAAAGGCAGAAGAAAUUAGGAGUACCUGGUCACGGGAUUUGUCGCCGACGAUGACGAACAUGGAGCGGUGCCGGUUUUUGACGCCAUUGCUUAUUAGGGUUCGGAUUCGUUCGUCCACCUUCUUCCUCAUUCUCUCUCUCUCUUCUCUCUCUGUGCAAUUAGGUUUAGGGUUUAUACCAUAGGGCAGUUGUCGUCGUCGGGCAGGGUUUAAGCCGAACUAGUGAGAGAGAGACUAGACAUCGCGGAGAGAUAUUGAGUUCAUCUCAACCGUUGAUUGGCUAUCUGAUGGCUGUUAUCAAAGCUGACAUAAAAAUGAAAACUCAACACGUGGCCAAGUAUUUUUUUUCUCUCUUUUUUGGCUUAUUUAUUGAUUUGCCCCAGAAAUUAUUUUUUUUGUCUUACUCUAGGUCAUGAAACAGAAUUUAUCUUACUUUAUCUUCUAAAACUACCAAAAUCGAGUCAUUUCACCCAUGUUUUGUCAAUUCUAUCUCAUAAACGUUAAAUAAAAGGGAGUCUAAACAUUUCAUACCAUGCUAGCAAAGAUGAGCCACUGUUGUUGGUGAGGUACGAAAUUUUCAAACUUUCCUAAACCUUUAAAACUUAAAAGGUAUCUUGAAUAUGAACGUAAAUGAGGUAAAGUUGCUCAAUUUUGGCAAUUUAUGAAGGGUAAAAUGAGACAAAUUCAAUUUAAGGCUAAAGUGAGAGUAAAUGGCAGUUUCAUGAGAUAUAUCAAUAAAUAAAUCUUUUCUAGAAUACAACUAAAUUAUGUACUCACGGUAAAAGAUAAAUUAAUAUCGAACUUGUCAUUGACGAUAUCUAAACAUAAAACCUUUCAAGUUUUUACCUAUAAGAAUAAAUUUGGUAUAGUAAUUUCUUUUCUAAUUUAAAGUUUCCCAUAGAGUUAUGACGAAUUUGAUACCAAAUUAGGCUGUCAUUGUGUGGCAUAGCCGAAUUCCUCCUCCCUUACUUUAAAAAUAACGAUGUACUCAAAAAAAGUUUCCCAUAGAGUUAAAAUGAUCUUUAGUUGCUUGCUGAGACAACCCAUAUGUAUAAUAAGACAUUGAAAAAGGUGCCUCUGUCAUUUACACUCACACGAUCGAAUAAGUAGCUCCGACAGUUGCAUCAUAAAAUUAAGGGGUUUUCCGAGAUUGUAGUAAGGUUGACGAUUAAAGUUUGGGAAAUUUUCAGGUUAAGGAAUCAAGGGAUCACAUUUUCAAGUUUCGUAGGCAUUCUCUUUCCUUUGGAAUGGUGUUGGAAUCCGUCCUGAAGUUGCCCAUUCCUUUGCUCUUGAUUUUCAGAGUUGGAUAGCUAUAAACCUUAGGACACAUUGUACCACCAUACAUGGUUUACCUUGGAACCUUAUCUUUAAUUCAACUCUCUGGCAUUGCUGGAAAUGGAGGAAUAACUUUGUCUUCAAUGAUGGCCAACAACCGCUUGACUCACCCCAGAAUUUCAUUUUUCAAUUUGCAAGGGAAUGGUGUGAUGCGAACAAGUGUUCUUCUAGUAAGCCUCCUAGACAAAAUCAUCUCAAUCCAUUGGAUUCGUUUGCCAAUUGGUAUACAAAAUCAAUACAGAUGGGAGUUGUAAAGACCCAUUUAGCCACAUAAGUGCUGGAGGUUUGCUUCGUAAUUCUGAAGGGAAAUGGAUUAAGGGAUUUGCUGCUAAUUUGGGCAGAGGAACCAUCAUGGAAGGUGAGCUUUAAGGGUGGUUUCAUGGGACUUUCUAUAGGUUGGGAUGAGAGUUGCAAGGAAGUGAUUAUUGAAUGUGAUUCUUAUGCUGCUGUUACUUUGAUCCAACAACCUAUUUUAGUUCCCACUCUACAAUCUCAUUAUUGACUGCAAAGAAGCCAUUGAAAGAAAUUGAAGAUGUGAAGUUACUCAUAUCUAUAGAGAAAAUAAUGUCUUAGCUAAUCACACGUCUGACUUAGGUCAUGGGUUAUCACUUGGUCUUCAUGUUUUUGCUUCUCCUUCUACCAUUGCUACUAAUUUUAUAGUUUCUAAUACUAUUGGCAGGGCCCUCCCUAGAGCUGUUUUUUAGUAGCUUUUUUGUUUUGCUUGUUGGGCUUUGCCCUCUUCUGUACCCAAAAAAAAAAAAAAAAAAAAAAAUAUUGGGAAAUUUAUUUGGACCCAACUUUUUUAUCUCUACACCCAAAUAAUAUUUUCUCUUAUCUAAUCUUCCAAAUUUGUCCUUAAAUAACAAACAUUGAAGUUUUCUUUGUAUCUCUACACCCAAACCCCACGAUCCACCACUGUAGGGCGCUCCAUUAUUUCCGACAAACCCAACUCAAACGCCAGCAACACUAAAAUCGACAAAUCAAGACUGGAGAACAAAUGGUGUAGGAGUCCUAAUGUGAAUAUUAAAGCAAACUUAAGUUGCAAAACCCUUUUUUAUUUCAAUCGAUGAAAGGACCUUGGGUUAUGAACAUAAGGAACCUAUUAGGGUUUAGAGGUCCCCUCCACAUCAUAUGCAUAAGCCCUUUUUCUUCAUUCAUUAAUUUACGGAAGGGAAAAUUAAUACUAUUAUUCUCAUAAAAAGUGGGAAUACCAAGGAAAGAGAUCCUCUCCACACCAUAUAUUUUUCUUUUCUGAGUAGUUAUAUCCAAUGGAGAGAGGAAAACAAGAGCACCAAUGGUCGCAGGUUCACCGGAGAAAAUGAAGGUGCAGUGGUGAUGUGAGUUUAGGGUUAUUGGGUGUAAAGAUAACAACUUUAAUAUUUAUUUUCUCAUUUUUAUUUAUUUAAGGGCAAAUUUGAAAGUUUAGUAGAGAAAAUUUGUUAGUUGGGUGUAGAGAUAAAAAGGUUGGGUCCAACAAAAUUUCUCAUAAAGUUUAAUCACGCGAUUAAGUUCUUGUGCAAUGAGUAAAUUGUAGCAAUGACCCAUCAACUAAAAAUCCAUUAUUAUUGAUCCCUCAACUCAUCAAAAUAUGUAGUUAUGGUCAUUUUCGUCAACUUUGUAAGAAUUUUGUCAAAAUAAAUUAUGUUGGAAGGACCAUUGUUACAAUUAAGGUCCUUCAACUCAUCAAAACAUGUAGCUAUGGUCAUUUUCGUCAACUUUGUCAAAAUGAGUUAUGUUGGCAUGACCAUUAUUGCAAUUGGGUUAAAGUUGAGGAAUCAUUGCUCCAAUUGGGUUAAAGUUGAGGGAUCAUUUCUCUAGUUAGAUUAAAGUUGGGGGACCAAUGAUAAUUAAGUUUUAGUUAAGGGAUCAUAGUUGCACGUUUUGAUGAGUUGAGAGAUCAAUGAUAAUGAAUUUUUAGUUAAUGGAUCAUUACUCCAAUUGAGUUAAAAAUAAAGGACCAUUGCUACAAUUUACUCUUGUGCAAUAGAAGAUUAAUUUGGCCGAACAACCUGAUUAAGGUGCCUACUUUCUCUUUAAUUCAUUGGUAUCAUUUAUUUUCCCUUAAGCUGAAUUAUGCUCAAUUUAUGUAUCAAUAUUGUAAAGUUGUCUUUGUUAGAGUAAUUUGGACAAUAUAAAUUGAAAAUUAUUUGUGUAUAUGGAAAAGAUUAACCUCAGGGGUCACUUCGCCGGACUCCGUAGCAAUCUCCACCACUCCAAUCGUAAUGGUGAGUAAAUCACUUGUGUUUGUUUCCAUUUUUUCAAUUGGAAAUUGGGGGUUUUGAAUUCAUAUUUUGUCAAUUGGUUUUGUGAGCACUGAGAAUACACUACGAGCUUGUGUGUGUGUACAAUAUGUUGGAUUUGAUCUUUAUAAAGAAUGCGAGAAAUUGGGGUUAGGAAAGAGAAGAAAAGGAAACAGAACUCGAACUUCGAUCUUCAUUCUUGUUACUAAAGGAGAAAACCGAAUUUGAACCGGUUCAUACGUAAUCGAACCGAAUUUGUAUAGUUCGGUUCACCCCUUAGUACCGAACCGUACCAUACCAAAAAAAAUUUCUUGAGUUUGGUUUUGAUACAUCCCUCAUACUGUACCAUACCAAAUCGUGGCCAGACCUACUGAAUACAAAACUUAUAUCUGGGUCGUAAGUCGUAAGGCCUCCAAAAAAAAAGUUCAUAUUAUUCAUACCAAUCGGACAAAUCCCGCACCCAAAAACAAUGGCUAGAUAGAAAGUUCAAUUAUAGAUUAGGUAAUCUAUCCUUUUCAACUUAAAUGCACAUUCAUGAUGGUUAUGCAAAUCAUAUUAUGUUAACAAAUGCAACAAUUAAUUAUAUUUAUCCAUUUGGAAUGAUAUAUAUUUUCAAAGAUGGAAUUACAGACCCCGUUGACGUUGAGGCCAUUGCAUGAGAGAAUUUUAGAUGAUUUUCAAUUAAUUUAUAUUAUUGUUGUGAUAACCAUAAUAAUUAUUUUCUAAAUGUAAAACUAUAUUAAUGAAAUUUUCUUUGUCGGUCAAAAGAAGAUGAAAAGAUAUCUUUAUCUUCUAUCACAACAAAAAAAUUAAGGAUAUUAAUGUAAUAGGCUAAUAGCGAUGGGGUGAAGAAAUGGAACUAUCCUAAAUAGGCAGUUGCUGGUUAUAUUGGAUCAGGUGGUCUGAAUGAUUGGAUAAUUAGCAAAUAAAAAGGUUCCAUUUUUCAUGGACCCUCAAGUGGAAAUAUGGGAUAAAAGAUGGCAUAUACCAUUUUAUCCAUUUGUGAUUGUACAUUUUGAUGGUUGUGAUUUCACCCGAUGGCGCGGCAAGUGUGGAUUGGGAUAAGGAUGGUUUUGGUCUAUCAUCAAAGAUGGUUUGAUGUUCACGACUGGAUUUUACAACGCAUCCAAGUGCAUGGGUUCUAUAAAUACAGAGUUGCGCACAAUAAAAAAGUACAAAGGACCUUCAAACCUUUCACACACUCUGAGAAACUCCUGAUUCUCCCAACUUCGUCAACACAUCUUCAAUUUGGAUUAACAUCACUGUUUGUCAGUGAGGAGUCCUUAGUCUUCUCGUCUCAUUAGCCCUCUAGGUGAAGUGAGGUGUUACUGAAUUACUUGAGUAUUCAGCACAUUGAAAGUCGAACCUUAUUUGAACUUCACAGUAGUUAGCAAUCUUAUCUUCAGGUUUUAGAACCCAAUGCCAAGACAUAUUCCUUCCUCGACAGUGAUGGUUUGUACACAAAAGUUGGUUUGUACACAUAAGUCAGUAUUGUGUUUGACACACCAUCCCAUUCAUUCUACUAGCCCACAAACGCGUGGACUCGUCCAAAAUUACCCCACUCUCGGCCCGUUCACUUGCCCACUCGUCCCACGCGGCCCGUGAGUCUUCAGUGCCUGAUAGGGGGGCCUACUGUUAGGGCCGUUGUUGGCCACAACCCAGAGCCCAACGAUUUUUUUUUGCAUCCCACGACUGGCAUUUUUGGACCGUUGGUUGAUCCAACGGUCCAGAUUCAAAUUUUGUUUUUUUAAAUGUUAUUUUAAAAUACAUUGAAUCCAACGGCUGAGAUCGAAUAUAAUCAAAUCUAACGGUAAAAUAAAAAAAGAUAAAAAAAGAUAUAACAGUCCAAAUUUAAAUCCAACAGCUAAAAUAAUUUUAAAAAAAAUUAUUUAACUCAAAAUUCACCCAAAAACUCUAUAAAUACCUUUGUAUUUGUUCAAACAUCCACACAAAACUCAAUUUUCUCCCACAAUUCUUCCAUUUUUUCUUUCUACCAUUUCUUUCCAUUUCCAAAUUGUUCAACACGAUCCUUGAAUUGGCCAUCCCAAGCAGUAAGACAAUUCUUCCACUCCCAAAGCAUACAAUCGAGACUUCCUAUCAUGUCAGGAAAGCCUAUUUUGUCUGCUUUGAGUAGAAUGUGACGACAUGUCCCGAAUUAUUAUAUAUUUUUCUCCCUAAGUGUGUAAAGUGACGGUAAUGCCCUCGUGAUUUAGUGACGUGGAUGUACAUAUGUAGUUUUAAAUUAUUAUUUCUAUUGUCGUAGUUAAAUUGUACUCGACGCCAUGAGUGUGUUGAUGUGACCUAGGGCUAAAACAAAUUCGUAACGAAGAAGUUACGAACAGACGAGUGUGUAAAUGCGUAGAAAUAUAUUUUUAUGGGUUGGCUAUACCUUACCCACCAAUCACCUUAAUUCCUGAUUUCUUUGGCCUAAUUGAAUUAAAAAUAUCUCUCAUUUUUCCUUCUGCCCAAUCACGCACAUACACACCAUCACUCUCUCUCUUCUCUCGGACCUUCUUCUUCUUUCUUCUCAUUCCGUACACCCGAGCCACCCUUACCUCACAAUCAUCAUCAAAACAUUAUGGAUCGAAUUGGAAAUCACUACCAUCGCAGUCACCUCGAUCCCACGAACUCAUUGAUACCCUUAGGUCGAGGAAUAGACGUCGGGAAUUCGAGAACUCGGGAGCUCUGGCGAGGUGUAUUUUUCUACUUUGUGAUCGUGGUCUUUUUCUAUGGUUUAAAGGCUUGAGGUGGGUCCUAAUCAACUUUAUAGGGACCCUAGAUUAGUUUUGGAGCAGUUUGAACGUUGGAAUAGGUGAGAACAUGGAGUUGCAGGUUGGCCGGUUGAUCCAAGCCUUACUCCGACCACUUUCUGUCGGUUUUAGAACCUCAAGUAGGUAAGAUUGUAUUCUUCUAGUUGAGAGUUUCAAAUCCAUAUAAAAUUCAUGGAAUUUGGUUGAAAAAUGAUGAAGAUAUUAAAGUUUUAAGAUUUUUCCAAAAAUCAGCGACACAAACGGCGCCCGACGGCCAGCGAUGGAUUCCGACAAAGCCAUCGGAGAAGGAGGAGAAUAUUAUGUCUAACUUUGACAGAAUAUACUAACAGCGUCAGGUAACUCUAUUAGUUUUUAAACAAAAUAUUCUACUAUUUAAUGAAAUAUUCCCUAACGCCGUUAGGGAUUCCGUGCCUGCACGUGCCGGCUUAUGAGGGCGCGUGAGACGUCAGGAAAUUAAUCUAAAAAUAUUGGGGUGUUCGAGUUGUUGAGUAGGUCAUGUUGGUAUAUUCAAACACCCUAUUUGAGCAACGUAUGAGAAGUUAUUCCUAGGGUUUGUGUAUGUGCCUUAAAAUUAAUGUAAAAUUAGUUAUUUCGCAUAUAGGUGAGACUUACCCGGAGGACAAACGUGGUCAAACGAGACUUGGGGGCUACGAUCCUACUACUUACCAGUGAGCGGGCUUUUUUUUUCUAUAUAUAUGUAAAUAUGCUUAUGAAUCCCAUAAACUACUUUAAAUGAACGUAUGUUUUAAAUGCCAUGUCGUGUGCAUUAUGUGUUAGUAUUGCAUUAGUAUAGCUAUGCAUAGUAUUGGAUGAGACUGCGCAGACUCAGGUAAGUUUCAGGUGAGUACAUCAUGAUGGUAUUGGGUGCGUGUGUGUGGUUAUACGUUGAUGCAUUUUGAGCUUAUUAUCCUGCACAUUGGUGUUAGUGUUCUCGCCCAUGGCCAGGGCAUAGUUUUUCACAUGAUGUUCACCUCCUGGGCCGCACGCUCACUUUGGAUCCAAGUUUGGUGCACAGCCAUAUUGCACAGACCACAAUAGGUGGUUCCGACUCGUAGGUGACCUGCAAUUAUUUGCACAGCCUUCACGUGAUCGUAGCACUUAAGCGUACUUAUCUACACCCAGCCCUGUUGUACAGACCACAAUAGGUGGUUCCGACUUAUGUGCAUGCAUACUUGAUGAGCUAUAGAUUCAAUUGUACAGGUUACAUUAGGUGACUCCGGUUGGCAUACUAUUUUAGGUUGAUUCGUAUCACCUGGCUUACACAUUUUAUGGUUGAACAUCUUGACAUGGCAUACCUCUGUUUUCACUGCUCUAAGCAUUAUCCUUAUGUACCUAGUUGUUAUUAUUUUCUGGAAAAUUAUAUGGGUUUACAGUGAGGGGUUAGUAUGUUCAUAAAGACAACUGUGUUUUCAAAAACUUUGUUUUUGCCUACUCACAUUUUUUGUUUUGCACCCUUUCAGGUUCUAGGUAGUUGGUCAUCCUUGGUGGCUCACGAGGACUUUCACGGCGGUUCUGACAUCUCUGUAAAUAAGUAGGGAUUUUUUUCCCUGUUUGUAUAAUUAGUACUUAGUUGGUUCGAUUGCACUUUCGUUUACCCAUGCUCUGAUAUUUGUAUAACUUGCUUGGUCAUCUUUACUCACUUAUAUUAUCUUAGUUUAGAUAAGUUUGGUUUUAGGUUUUUAUUUAUUCGCAUUUCUUUUAUUAUUACUUCUGUUGCGCAUUUUGGCUACGUUACUCUUACGUGACGGGCAUCAUGUUUCGACUUCGGUUGGGGUGUGUCAUAAAAGCCUCUUCAAGUCUUCAUGAUUUGGCUUGCAGAGAUAUGUGGCUCCAUAUGUGGCCUGAAUUGCCCCACAGAAGCGCUCCAGGUUUUUAAUAGCAGUAGUCUCCGCAAGUCGGCAAUACUCAUCAGUUGAGUUUGCAGAGCACUCAUUAGCUAGCAUCCGAAAUGCAGAUGUGAGCUUCUGAUGAGGUGAUAGACUUUGUCGGCCUACGACAUUUAUCUUCCUUGCAAAGUAGUGGUCAUGAUUGACAACUGUGUUCAAGAUGCUUUCAAAAAUCUCUCUCCUCAUUCGAAACCGUCUCCGAAAAUCAUGAGCAGGAAAUCUCGGACGCUCAAUAAAAUAAUAUUUCAUCAUUCGGUCAUGACACUCUUCUCUAUCACGUUGCACAAAUGAACGCUUCGUGACAUAACCACAAUAGCUAGAUUCGACAUGGUGCUCAUAUUGCAUAAGCGAGUUUGGAAGUUUAGCUUAUGCGUUGAUCAUUUUUGAAUCCUCAAUGUCAAGGCUUGCUUGGUAUUAUGUCAUUUGCAUUGCCCUGCUACACCUUCUUCUAUCAUCCAUUGUUGAUAUAUUGAGGAUUUUUAUGAAACAAAAACACUUUGAAAGUUGAAAGAUUAGUGAAUAUAGGGAAUGAUUGAAGGUUGAAAGAUUGUGUGACCAACUGAUAUUGAACAUGUGUUUAUAUAGAGGAUGAUUGAUGAAAGUUGAAAGUUUGGUGAAAGUUGAACGGUUGGUGAAAGUUGAAGAUUUGUGAAAGUUAAAGACUUGCUUUGUGGAAAGAUUUAGUGAUUUUUUCAAUAUUUAUUGGAAUUUAAAUAUUUUUAUAUUAAAAUGUUCAUAAAAUUAAUUUACCAUAGGCUACAUAAUUUUUUUUAAAAGUUAAUUUAAGAAAAAAAAUUAGCCUAAGUUCAUUCUUUAAUAAUCCCGAACUAAAAUUUUAGGCUAGGGUUGGAGCAGAAAAACUGUUUCUGUGUUAAAAGCUAAAUUUUUUAGAUUAAAAAUUUUAAAUUUUAACCCAAAGGUUGGAGAUGAUUUAAGAAUGGAUAAACUUAACCAAGAAAAGAAGAAAAAAGAUGAAGGGCAAAUAAGUGAGAAGCAACAUGACACGACACACGGACGACCAUAGCAAUAAAGCGUGCGUCCUCACGUCCAUUGAAUAUAUAGAUGGGAGCUACAACAUCGUGUUUCACGUGCAUGUGUAUUAUACAUAAAGGCAUAUACAGUGUUAGCUUAUAUAUUAUAAAGUUUGUAGGCCACUUACCCAAUUUGGCAUAUGUUUUAUCUUUUUACGUGAAUAACCAAUGUGUUAUGAUGAUACAAGUCUCUUAACAUAUCCGGAGUUAGAAAUAUCAUAAGACAGUGUUGCGAUCAUAUUGAAAUUAAUUGACAGUUUGUAUUAUAUAUUUGAUUAUUCUUUAUUAACUUAAGGAGACAGCAUACUUAGACCUAAUUUAGUCACAUUCUCCAACCGAAAAUAAAGCGGUGUAGUAUUCAUACACUUUUUUUUAUUUCUUACACAGUCUUAAUUAAUUUCUAUUGUUUGAUCUUCUUCAAUUCAUUCGAUCUGACGACCGAAAAUUAAGAUGGUGUGUGGACGAGUAAAUUAUAACAAUGGUCCCUCAACUUUAAUCAAAUUGGAGCAAGGGUGCUCAACUAAAAAUCCAUUACCAUUGGUUCCUCAACUCAUCAAAAUGUGUAGCUAUGGUCAUUUUCGUCAACUUCGUUACAAUUUUGUCAAAAUAAGUUAUAUUGGAAUGACUAUUGCUACAAUUGGGGUCCCUCAACUCAUCAAAACGUGUAGCUAUGGUCAUUUUCAUCAAUUUCGUUAGAAUUUUAUCAAAAUGAGUUUUGUUGGAAUGACCAUUGCUACAAUUGAAUUAAAGUUGAGGGACUAUUAUUUCAAUUGAGUUAAAGUUGAAAGAUCAUUUCUUCAGUUGUAUUAAAGUUGAAGGAUCAAUGGUAAUGAAUUUUUAGUUGAGGGGACUAUAGCUGCACGUUUUAAUGAGUUGAGAGAACAAUAAUAAUGAAUUUUUAGUUGAAAAACUAUUACUUCAAUUGAGUUAAAAUUAAGAAACAAUUGCUACAAUUUUUUUAUAUGGAAAGUGGAUGAUGUGAAUAGCACAUCCAAAAAUAAAAGGGAACUUUAACGAAAAGCACCCGGUACUGUUCACUUUAACGAAAAACCACAUUUUUACACUAAAAAGUCAAUCCUGGUACUAUUCACUUUACCCUUUAUUUUGUCCUUAUCAUUAAAACUCAAAGUUUUCAAGCCCUUUUCAUUAGUUUUCCUAAAAUAAAAUGCACCACAAUUUGGUAGGAUCUUCCUGUUGAGAGUAAUAAAUUAAUAAUUGCCGAAAUAUUGGAUAAUUUGUCGGCCACAACGCUAUGAGGGAGUAUCUGGGGAUGAAUAUACUCUUGCCGACAGAUGCCCAAAUUCCAACUGCCAUUCAAAUGAGCCCUCCACCACCACCGGCCAUAAUAAAUUCUCUUUCUUUAGUGAAGAAGAAAAAGAGGUACUUGGCCCUCACCUCAACUUUUUGAGAAAGAACAAGUUUAUCGCUAUCAGAAUGUUUCGGUCAAUUAUAUAAGUUAUGUGUAAAUUUUUCUUUAGAUAACAUUACAUUAUUAUAUUUAAAAUGUUCCGUAACGAUAAAUUUGUUUCAUACAAAUUAUUCUCCAACUUCUUGGAUUUUUCUCCUUUUUCCCGAAAACCAGCUUAUAUUAGUGUUCAUCCUCUGUCAAUAUCACUCGCCCACAACUAUUCAACUAACUUUUAAUAAUUUGACAACGUGUCAUAUUUUUGUGCAAAGCGGGCCCAUUUUUGUGGGUGAUAUAAUAAUGGCGUAUGUGGUUUGUCAAGACAUAUACUCAUUUAUCCAUUAGCAGUUAGGUAAGUCACCUCACUCACCCACAGCCUAACACAUCAACAAAUAUUGCUUACAAAUUCUAGAAAAUUCGACCAAGAAAAAAAACCAAAUGCUCGCAAAUUAAAAUUGUGUAACAUGAUUAGUUUUUUAUCCAUUAGUAUUAAUUUUACGUUGGAAGAAAUUCCAAAUUUAUUCUUGUAAAGAGGGAUAUGAAAAUACUUUGUAUGUCUAUCACCAAAAUCUUCGAAUGUUUGAAUGGUUGAUUUUCAAGUCUCACACAAUUGGAUUUAGUUCAAGUGAGAAAGAAAUACACUCAAACUAUUAGAUAUGAGGAAUGAAAAUACACUACAAAAUCUUGUGAACAUUUCUAAUAUUCUCUUCUAUCUACUUUUUGUGAACCAAGUUUUUAUUUGUUUUUUUUUUUAACAAAAGAUAUUUUUUAUACUAGGGAAAUAAGGUGGGUUUAGCCUCAUAAUGGGCUAACAUAAUCUAGUUCAAACUUGCAUUUGGUGAGAAUCGAACCUAAAAUCUCUCACUUACAAGUGAAGAGGAAUACCAUUAGAAGUGUCAUGAAAUUAGCAGUCUUAUAUGUAAAAAAUUGAUUGACUAAAUGCUGUGUUAAAAAACAAGAUUAAUACUUGCAUCUCCCCACUUGGAAAAUGCAAAUAUUUCAUUUCUUGCAAAUAACGUAUAUCAUGCGUUCUGUUCAAUCGCAUAUUCAAAAAUGUUAAAAACAAGAUUAAUAUUUCUAUCUCCCCACUUGGAAAAUGCAGUAUUUCAUUUUUUACGAAUAACGUAUAUCCUGUGUUCCGUCCAAUCGCGUAUUAAAAAAAUGUGUGAAGUUUGGAUUAACUACACUCUUUGAGAAUUUCCUUAAAUAACCACUUUUUGAAAAUUUCUUAUAGGACUAAGUGAGUCUCCGCUGAGAAUUUCCUUAACUAACACAACACUACUUGAGUGAUAAUUUGUUAUAUCUUGAAUAGAGAAUAAAUCAGUUCCCUACUUUUGAAGGUACUAUUAACUUACACUAUAUUUGAAUGAGAACAAUAAACUUAGAAUUUAGAUGAAGGAAAUAAAACAGUUUCCUACUUUUGAAGGUACUACUCGAGUGAUAAUUUGUUAUAUCUUGAUAACGUGUCAUAUUUUUUUGCUAAGCGGACCCAUUUUUGUGGGGUGGUAUAAUAAUGGCGUUUGUUGUUUGUCAAGGGCAUAUACCCAUUUAUCCAUUAGCAGUUAGGUCACCUCACUCACCCACAACCUAGUACAUCAACAAAUAUUGCUUACAAAUUCUAGAAAAUUCAACCAAGAGAAAGAAAACCAAAUGCUCGCAAAUUAAUCUGUGUAACAUUAGUUUUUAUCCAUUAGUAUUUAUUUUACAUUGGAAGAAAUUCCAAAUUUAAUCUCGUAAAGAGGGAUAUGAAAAUACUUUGUAUAUCUAUUAUCAAAAUCUUUGAAUGUUUGAAUGAUUGAUCAUCAAGUCUCACACGAUUGAAUUUAGUUCAAGUGAGGAAGAAAUACACACAAACUAUUAUAUAUGAGGAUUGAAAAAUACACUACAAAAUCUUGUGAUAACAUUUCUAAUAUUCCUUUCUAUCUACAUUUUGUGAUAAGUUUUUUUUUUCCUUUUUUGAACAAACUAUAUUUAUCUACAUUAAGGGAGAGGAGGUGAUCUUAGCCUCACAAUGGGCUAGCAUAAUGUGGUUCAAAUUCGCCUUUGGCGAUAAUCGAACCUAAAACUUAUCAUUUACAAGUAAAUAGGAAUACCACUAGAUGGAUCAUGAAAUUAGCAGUCUUAUAGGUAAAAAAAAAUUGAUCGACUAAAUGAUGUGUUAAAAAACAAGAUUAAUACUUGCAUCUCUCCACUUGAAAAAUGUAGAUAUUUCUGUGAACACGGAAAAUUCCUGAAACGAAAGAGACAAGAACAACGUGCACAAAAUAAUAUUUUGGUGUUAAUGGAUUUGUUGGGUUACGAUCUCUUUUAACUUGAUCCUCUGAUUCGAUCUCCGUAAGGUGUUGAUUUAUGGAUGUUUCGUUGAUCCAAGGGCUGUUGAGGCUUGAUCUUAGAUGAACUGUUGGAAGUUUCUUCAAGGGGCCGUGGGCUUGAUCUUUGAAGGUGGAUUUGAGCGGAUCUUCAAGGAGCCGUUGGGGCUUGAUCUUGAGGAUGAGUGUUUCUUCAAGGGCCGUUAAGGCUUGAUCUUGAAUAACGGUGAUGAACGGAUCUUCAAGGGCUUUUGGGCUUGAUCUUGAAGAACGGUUGGAUGUGUGGAUUUGUUGAUGUUGUUGAUCCAAGGGCCGUCGGAGCUUGAUCUUGGAAGAACGAUGAACGAAGAACGAAGAACACUUUCUUCAAAGGCCGUCGGGGCUUGAUCUUGAAUUGGUGAUUGUUGAUCCAAGGGCCGUCGGGGCUUGAUCUUGGAAGAACGAUGAACGAAGAACGAAGAACACUUUCUUCAAGGGCUGUCGGGGCUUGAUCUUGAAUUGGUGAUUGUUAAUCCAAGGGCCGUCGGGGCUUGAUCUUGAUUCUUCGGGAUGAACGGAUGAUGAACAAUGAACACUUUCUUCAAGGGCCGUCGGGGCUUGAUCUUGAAUUGGUGGAAGUUCUUCAAGGGCCUUUGGGGCUUGAUCUUGAAGGUGGAUGAUUGUUGAUCCAAGGGCCGUCGGGGCUUGAUCUUGGGAUGAACAGUUGUGUGGAUUUGUUGAACACUUUCUUCAAGGGCCGUCGAUGCUUGAUCUUGAAUUGGUGGAAGUUCUUCAAGGGCCGUUGGGGCUUGAUCUUGAAGGAGGAUUUGACGAAGAACGAAGAGGGCUUUCUUGAUCCUUCGGGAUUUGCUUGAAUUUGGGAGGUUGGAUGCUUGAAAGCUUUAGAGUUUCAAAGCUUCAAGGAUUUUGGAUGUGUGGGGAGUAUUCUCUUCCAUUUUGGGAGUAGAGAAAUGUAUUUGUGAAUUGGUUUUUGAUACCUUGAUGUAGAAGCCUAUUUAUAGGCUUUGAGAAUGAAUCACCACCACAAAAUAUUUUUUUUCUUUUCCAAGCACCAUUGCCUAAUUUCCCACUUAAUACAAUUUUAAACUUGAAGUGGUAAUUUUAUGGCCUAAUUUUCCACUUAAUAUCAUUUUAAACUUGAUAUGUGCAUGCUUUGUCAUUGCCCAAAAUGAGAAGAAAACCUUGUUUUGAUCUUCAAUGAAUUGAAAUGUGCUUGCCUUGUCAUUGCCCAAAAUGAGAAGAAAAACUUGUGUAAUCCUUCAAGGGUAUUUCUUUUUAUUUUGUUGAGUCGCACACCAUGUGUACAAUUUGUAUGACACGUGGCAUAUGCCAUGUACGCCUUGACACGUCAAAAUUUUAAUGCGUUGGUGAACAUUUAUUUCACCGCAAUUUCGGUGUCUACAAAUGCCCCCACUUCAAGGUGCGUCGUAUACAUGUGCUUGUCACGUGUAGGAGAUGCGUUUUGAAGUCCCUUACUGUAGAUGUCAAUCCAAUGGCCAUCGAGGCUUGAUCUUGAAUUGGGCUGGAGAUUUCUUCAAGGGCCGUUGAGGCUUGUUCUUGGACUUUGUUUGAAAUUUCUUCAAGGGCCAUCGAGGCUUGAUCUUGAAGGUUGAAAUUGGACCACAAGGAGCUUCAUGUGGUAGAUGAUCUUUGGCUUUGGUAGUGGAUGAAUCGGCACGUAUUUGUUUUUGCGCUUUGUUGACUUUCCACAGCUUUGAUCUUGAACUGGGUUGGAGGAUUUUUUGGAUUCCUCCAAUUGUUGAUUUUCCACAGUUUAUUCUUGAACUGGAUUUGAUUCAAAUAUGGUGGACGCUUGAUCUUGAAUCGGACUUGUGAUUUCCUCAAGGGCCGUCGAGGCUUGAUCUUGAAUUUGGCCGGAAACUUCUUCAAGGGCCGUUGAGGCUUGAUUCUUGAAGGUUGACUCGAACACAUGGCAAGCAGGCACGAGGUGAAGGUGACGACUUGUUGCUUUGUUCAAUCUUUCUAAUUCACACCUGAGCAGUUUGGUCAACGGUAUGAUCUUCAAGAUUGAUGGGCUCUUCUUCCAGUUGGUGAUUUGAUCUUUAAGGAUUUGAUUCAAGGGUGGUGAAACGGCACAUGCAGCCCACAACGCCUAGCAAGUCGACCCAAGAAUUUGAGGGUUAAAACGAGUCCUCCACCCAGAGUGAUUGCAAACCUGAUGAUAUGAGAUACUUUUGAUUUUGAAGAAGUAGCGGAUGAAUCGGCACGUGCUUUGUUGUGCUUGUCUCCACAUGCUUCAAUGUAUCAUUUUCCCUUGUCUUAUCUAUUCUUCUAGCAGAAUGUAGCAUCUUCUUAAGUUCUUCAACUCAGACUCCUUCUGCUGAGCUGACUGUGCAGGCUGCAUUAUUCUCUGCUUGUUUCUUUAGGCAGAUGUGGCAGCUUCUUGAGUUCCUCAGCUCGGACUCCUUCUGCUGAGCUGAUUGUGAAGACUGCAUUCUUAUCUGCUUGUUUCUUCUGUACGUUGUCUCCACAUGCUGCAAGGUAUCAUUUUCAAUUGCCUUAUUUGUUUUCCAGGCAAAUGUGGCAUCCGAGUUUGAGUGGAGGUUCUGGCAUAUUGUUUUCUUUAUCCUUGUCUUUGUAGGUAAGAACAAGGACAAAGGAAAGGACAGGGAGAACGCAUGAUAUGAUAUACUCUUGCUUUCUACCCUGGUGAUAUGAGAUACUUUUGCUUUGGUGUCAUUUGUUUGCAGAGGUACCCCAAGGAAUAAGAAACACUGAGUGACUCGAGAGGCUUUGUUGGGAAGGCAUUCUAGGAGAUGAAGAAAGGUUCUUGGAGAUGAAGAAAGGUUCUCGGAGAUGAAGAAAGGUUAUGUAUGUCUGCCUUGCUAUGGAGGGUAAAGGUGGACAGUUAUAGGAAAUUCUUUAGUACCUGUAGAGGUACUAUUCUUUUACUCGUGUCGGCAACCAAUGUGUGAUUGAUCAGUAUGGCUUCACGUGUUUUCUUCUUUAUCAGAAAUCUUCGACAAAUUGUCCGUAAUUUUCGUCAAGCUGAGUGUGCAUGUGACAGGUGUUGACGAGGCUGAAAAAGACUGGUGCCUCUUCGAUAUCUGGGAUCGGCGCUUCGACAAAUUGCCCGUGAUUUCCGCAAAGCUGAGUUUGCGCGUGACGGGUGCUGACGAGGCUGAAAAAGACUGGCGCCUCUUCGAUAUCUGGGAUUGGCGCUUUAACAAAUUGCCCAUGAUUUCUGCAAAGCUGAGUUUGCACGUGACGGGUGCUAACGCGUCUGGAAAAGCAAGAUGCUUCUCCGAUUUCUGAGCUUGCCUCUUUGAUUUUUGAAUUGGCCUCUUCGAAUUCUGAGCUCGCCUCUUCGAUCUUUGAAAUCCCAUCGAGUGUUGAUCUUUAUAGAGGCACGCAGUUCGUUUCAAAGCACACUUGAAUUUUCGCUUGUAGAAACUCCCUUCUUGCACUUCUAAGAUCUUGAUUUGUCCGACCUCUUCUUUCUUCAACACCUUUGAAAAUGUCUGGACCCUCCGACCGUCAUUUUGAUUUGAACCUUGGUGAAGAGGUAGUCCCGUCUUCUCCAGAUAACAUAUGACGCCCAUCUUUCAUAUCCCCUACUGGUCCUCUUACCGUUGGGGAUUCGGUGGUGAAGAAUGAUAUGACCGCUGCGGUGGUGGCCCGAAACCUUGUCACUCCCAGAGAUAACAGACUACUUUCCAAACGGUCUGAUGAGUUGGCUGUUAAGGAUUCUCUGGCUCUCAGUGUGCAGUGUGCAGGUUCUGUGUCUAAUAUGGCCCAACGCCUAUUUGCUCGAACCCGUCAAGUUGAAUCAUUGGCGGCUGAAGUGAUGAGUCUCAAACAGGAGAUAUUAGAGGGCUCAAGCAGAGAGAUAAACAGUUGCAUAAGCUCGCACAUAGCUAUGCGACAAACAUGAAGAGGAAGAUUAACCAGAUGCAGGAAUCUGAUGGUCAGAUUUUACUUGAUCAUCAGAGGUUUGUGGGUUUGUUCCAGCAGCAUUUGCCUUCGUCUUCUGGGGCUGUACCGCGUAAUGAAGCUCCAAAUGAUCAACCCUUGGCUCCUCUUCUUCCUGGAGUUCCGCCGAGUGGUGUGGCUUCAAACAGUCAACCUCCGACGCCUCUCAUUUCUGGAGCUCUGCUGAGUGGUGAGGUGGCACCUAAUCGUCCUUGAAGAUCCCCUCUUGUAAAUUUGAUUUGAUUUUUUUUUAAGUAUGUAUAAUGCAAAUUUAUGUAAAAUUUCCAGAAAAAAUAAAUAAAAACGGACUUUAUUUCUCUCAAUGCAUUUGUUUUGUUUUGUUUUUGUUUUUUUUGUUUUUUUGUUUUUGUUUUUUUUGUAAAUACAUAAUAACAUAUGUAUUUAUUUAUUUAUUCUUUUGUAAUAAAAUUGACUUUCUUUAAUAAAACUUUUAUAUUUUUCUUAUUUAUUUUGAUAUGACUGAACUCGAAAUUGAAUGUUCGAGCCGCCUACGUACCCUUCCAAAGAAGAGAUCAAGCCAUAACGUAGUUCAAAUGAGUGAUGAAUUUAAUAGUGAUUUUGAUGAUGAUUUUGCCGUACACAGUUUAUGCUCUUGUGGGCCAGGAGCUUUGGUGUUGCCUUUUAUGCUCGUGCAGACCAGGAGCGUUGAUGUCGCCUUUUAUGCUCGUGUGGGUCAGGAGCGUUGAUGUUGCCUUUUAUGCUCGUGCAGACCAGGAGCUUUGUGCCAUGCAGUUUAGACUCGUGCGGGCAAGGAGCUUUGGUUCGUGCAGUUUAGGCUCAUGCGAACAAGGAGCAUUGGUUCGUGCAGUUUAGGCUCGUGCGAACAAGGAGCAUUGGUGUUGCCUUUUAUGCUCGUGCAGACCAGGAGCUUUGUGCUAUGCAGUUUAGACUCGUGCGGGUGAGGAGAAUUUGUGAAUUUUGUCAAGCACUUUUGGAGAGGCGUUCCUUACAAUCUUCAUAGCAAGGAGCCUUGACCGAGUGAUUGAAGAAGUCUUCGGGAAAGAAGUCGCACAUCGUGAUGGCAACAGACGAUCUUUGUGUCGUAAUUUCAUCAUCUUCAACACGUUCACGUUGCUUUGAAGGUUGACAAGAGCUGCUUUGCCCCCUUUCCGAUUGGCGGACUUGUGGAGGAGACGUAUGCUUCUUGUGCCAUUUCUUAGGAGUGACUUGAGUCCAUCCUUCAAGUUUGCUUGUUUUGGAGGAUGCCCCCGGCGGUUGAGGUGAAAAUUUUGUGUUGAAAGAGCCAGAAGUGAUGGUGGUAUAGUUUGACUUCACCACAUCGUCAAGAUCUAGCUCGAUGAUUCCUUUCUGAGCCCACUUUAUGAUGAGAUCUUUCAGCACAAAGCACUUUUCUGUCGGAUGACUGAUGAAGCGGUGGAAUUUACAGUAUCUUGGACUGUUGGUACGAUUCAUCUCUUCCGGCCAUCUGCACUCAGGCAAACUGAUCACCUUCUUGUCCAACAGGUCAUCCAACAUGGCAACCACAUCAGAGUCAGGGAAUGGAUAAGUCUUCUCUUUAAGCUCCUUCAAAGUGCGUCUACGCAUCUCUUGAUCACGAAAAGCUUCGGUUUGAAUCGUUUUGCCUCGUGUGGAGAUUUUGACGGGAGAUGUGUUGACUGUCAUUGCUUCCUUGGUGGAUUUCCACGUAGCCUUCUCCACCUUUGUCUCAAGAAUUUUGUCGUUCUUGUAGUCGGCGAUCGGUUCCUUCUUCCCAUGAUGGGUGAUGCUCAACUCCAUGUCAUGGGCGUGGGUGGCCAAUUCCUCGAAGGUCCGUGGUUUAAUGCCUUGAAGGAUGUAUUGCAAACCUCAUUGCAUGCCUUGGAUGCACAUCUCGAUUGAAGAGGUCUCCGAGAGCCUAUCUUUGCAGUCGAGGCUUAGAGUGCGCCAUCUGUUGAUGUAGUCAAUGACCGGCUCAUCUUUCCAUUGCUUCAUACUUGUGAGCUCCAACAUGCUUACAGUGCGGCGGGUGUUGUAGAAGCGGUUGAGGAAUUCCCGCUCCAAUUGCUCCCAGCUGUUGAUGGACUCAGGCUCUAGGUCCGUGUACCACUCAAAUGCGUUUCUUUUCAGCGAGCGCAUAAACUGCUUGGCGAAGUAGUCCCCCUCCGUCCCCGCGUUGUUGCAAGUUUUGACGAAAUGUGCAACGUGCUGCUUUGGGUUUCCUUUUCCAUCAAACUGCAUGAACUUUGGUGGUUGAUAUCCCAUCGGCAUCUUUAGGGCAUCAAUCUUCUUUGAAUAAGGCUUUGAGUACAACCCGGAGGUAUUUGAGCUCCCUUCGUACUAUGCCUUGACGGUGCUGGCAAUCAUCUCUUGCAACUGUUGGAUAGAAAGAGAUCCCAUGAGUGCCGCUUCUUGGUCUGGCUCCGGCUUCACAUCGAUUUUCUCCACCGUAGGCUCAUCUUCUGGGUUAGGGUUCUCGCUGUCCUGUGGCUCCAGUUGACUGAUGAGUGCAGCGAUUUGCAAGUCUUUUUCUUCCACAGUUCGGGUUAGCCUUGCGAUUGCUUCAUUCAUUUGAGCCAGUUGUUCUUCGAUGGAGGUAACGCCGAUGGUCAUGACUUGUGCAACCAAUAGACGUGACUUUCCUUUAGACAUCCAAGAUGCUGAAGAAGAACGUCAUUGGUUGUUUUGGGAUGUCAUCUUGUGUGCCUCAGCAACAUGCUUUGGUGCCCCCAGCGAGGUCAGGUUGAUGACAGACUCACACCUUUGAUGCUCCCUUUGCUCUUUUAGCGGCACCAACUUUGAAGUGGCAUGUUAAGGAGCGGUUGUGGUGCUAAUGGAUUGUCCAUUUGCGGCAGAAGUGCUUAGGAUCCUUCCCUCAGUGAUUGCGAGAACGGCUUGUCCCUUGCUUGAUGCCAUUGAUUUUGAGGUGUGUUUGGAUUCCUUAAACGGAGAAAGAUAUGAGAGGUAGAGAUUGUCCCACCGGGCGUGCCAAUUUGUGAACACGAAAAUUUCCUGAAACGAAAGAGACAAGAACAACGUGCACAAAAUAAUAUUUUGGUGUUAAUGGAUUUGUUGGGUUACGAUCUCUUUUAACUUGAUCCUCUGAUUCGAUCUCCGUAAGGUGUUGAUUUAUGGAUGUUUCGUUGAUCUAAGGGCCGUCGAGGCUUGAUCUUGGAUGAACUGUUGGAAGUUUCUUCAAGGGGCCGUGGGCUUGAUCUUUGAAGGUGGAUUUGAGCGGAUCUUCAAGGAGCCGUUGGGGCUUGAUCUUGAGGAUGAGUGUUUCUUCAAGGGCCGUUAAGGCUUGAUCUUGAAUAACGGUGAUGAACGGAUCUUCAAGGGCUUUUGGGCUUGAUCUUGAAGAACGGUUGGAUGUGUGGAUUUGUUGAUGUUGUUGAUCCAAGGGCCGUCGGGGCUUGAUCUUGGAAGAACGAUGAACGAAGAACGAAGAACACUUUCUUCAAAGGCCGUCGGGGCUUGAUCUUGAAUUGGUGAUUGUUGAUCCAAGGGCCGUCGGGGCUUGAUCUUGGAAGAACGGUGAACGAAGAAUGAAGAACGAAGAACACUUUCUUCAAGGGCCGUCGGGGCUUGAUCUUGAAUUGGUGAUUGUUAAUCAAAGGGCCGUCGGGGCUUGAUCUUGGAAGAACGAUGAACGAAGAACGAAGAAGGCUUUCUUGAUUCUUCGGGAUGAACGGAUGAUGAACAAUGAACACUUUCUUCAAGGGCCAUCGGGGCUUGAUCUUGAAUUGGUGGAAGUUCUUCAGGGCCUUUGGGGCUUGAUCUUGAAGGUGGAUGAUUGUUGAUCCAAGGGCCGUCGGGGCUUGAUCUUGGGAUGAACAGUUGUGUGGAUUUGUUGAACACUUUCUUCAAGGGCCGUCGAUGCUUGAUCUUGAAUUGGUGGAAGUUCGUCAAGGGCCGUUGGGGCUUGAUCUUGAAGAAGGAUUUGACGAAGAACGAAGAGAGCUUUCUUGAUCCUUCGGAAUUUGCUUGAAUUUGGGAGGUUGGAUGCUUGAAAGCUUUAGAGUUUCAAAGCUUCAAGGAUUUUGGAUGUGUGGGGAGUAUUCUCUUACAUUUUGGGAGUAGAGAAAUGUAUUUGUGAAUUGGUUUUUGAUACCUUGAUGUAGAAGCCUAUUUAUAGGCUUUGAGAAUGAAUCACCACCACAAAAUAUUUUUUUCUUUUCCAAGCACCAUUGCCUAAUUUCCCACUUAAUACAAUUUUAAACUUGAAGUGGUAAUUUUAUGGCCUAAUUUUCCACUUAAUAUCAUUUUAAACUUGAUAUGUGCAUGCUUUGUCAUUGCCCAAAAUGAGAAGAAAACCUUGUUUUGAUCUUCAAUGGAUUGAAAUGUGCUUUGCCUUGUCAUUGCCCAAAAUGAGAAGAAAAACUUGUGUAAUCCUCCAAGGGUAUUUCUUUUUAUUUUGUUGAGUCACACACCAUGUGUACAAUUUGUAUGACACGUGGCAUAUGCCAUAUAUGCCUUGACACGUCAAAAUUUUAAUGCGUUGGUGAACAUUUAUUUCACCGCAAUUUCGAUGUCUACAAUUUCAUUUCUUGUGAAUAAUGUUUAUCCUGUGUUCUGUCCAAUCGCGUAUUAAAAAAUGUGUGAAGUUUGGAUUAACCACACUCUUUUAGAAUUUCCUUUAUUUACCACUUUUUGAGAAUUUCCAAUAAGACUGGGUGAGUCUCCGCUGAGAAUUUCCUCAACUAACACCACACUACUUGAGGGAUAAUUUGUUAUAUCUUUGAAUAAAGAAUAAAACAGUUUCCUACUUUUGAAGGUACUAUUAACUUACACUAUAUUUGGAUGAAGGUCAAACUUUAUAAAUUGACAUACACCAAAUUCUUUGUUUGGAUUCAUAAACAUAUAAAUUUAGAAUUUCCGCGUGGAAAAAAAAAAUACUUAGAAUUUGAGACCUCCAAUUCUCAAAUUGAAAGUUUAAAAAUAAUAAAUUCCGUAUUCAAUUCAAUUGUUCUUUUAGGUUAACCAAAUAAGAAAAUUCACAAAUUCUAAAAUAUAAAAUCUCAUCAUUUCAAUUUCCGUCAUUUUAAAAUUCCUUAGUAAUAUUAAAUUUCUUCAUCCAAACAUAGUGUUAAGAAAUUUUUUAAAGAUACACUAUUUACACUCAUUUUUAUUUCUUACACAUUUAUUAACUUUGUCCAUUGAUUUCUUCAAUUCAUUUUGCCAGUUAUACAAAAAUUGAGAACAGUAUUUAUGAAUUAAAAAUACAUUUGUAGAUGUCACUACCAAAUUUUUAUUCCUAAUUCAAGAAAAUCUUAUCCAUAUAUGAUUGCCCUUGCCCACUUUAAAUGGGUGCCAUCACUUUACGAUAGAGCAAUCCUAACCGUCCACCUAGGUAAGCAUAACUGGCGAUGCAUGUCGCAAGGGGACCGCAUUGCACAAUAUAAUUAUACUAGUUGAUAAGACAAGUGAUGUCAAUCAAUAAAUUAUUUCAUUAAAACUUAGUUGUAUGUAUCAUAUGUUGUAAUGUAGGGUGUAUGAUAUGCUGACGCUGUAAAAAAAUGUAACCUUUUUAAUAUUACUCAUAAUAGUAAGACUUACCAGUAUUAGGAUGUUAUCAGUGGAAUGAGAAUCCUCUCCAGAUCUUUUUUGUGAGCUAUUAUUUGUAUUUAAUUUUAAAUAUAAAAAAUUAAAAUAAUUUAUGACGGCAGUGAUUCACAUGAUCUUCACAAAGAGAAUCCAAAUAAUCUUAAUUUAUAUCAGUGUGUCUAGAUAACAUGAUCGAGCCCCUUUACUUUUACCCUAUUUAGUAUUUUACAUUUGAACCUGUAAAUAUUCGAUUUUUCUUUGGUGCAACCGAGCACCAAAUAUAGAUUUUUUUUCACUUUUAUAUAAUGAUAAAUAAAGGGCAAUUGGCAGAUUUGAAUUCCAUUCGGAUUGGUCAAAAAUCAUUUUAAAUUGUUUUAUUUAAAAUUAAACACAUAUAGUACUUAAUAAAAAUUAGUCGUACAAUAUACGAUAAACAGAUAUAAUGUAAGGACCUUUAUGAUCUUCACAAAAAAGAUCCAAAGGUUGUGUAGCUGUUUCAAAAGGAUAAUACUCACUUUUGAUUAGUUCAAUGAAAUUUUAAACAUGUUUUAUUGUUUUAAAAAAUAAUAAACAUAUUUAUUAAUGUUUGUUUUACUUUAAAAAAUAAGCAGCACUUGACAACAUUUGAUUGUGCUAAAUAAAAAAUGAGUGACCACUUAGUACUACAGUCUUAUGAUAUUUUUCUUCAUUUGAAAGUGAGAGGUUUUAAGUUCGAAUCUCGUGGAUGACGAAUUUGAUAUCAAAUUAGAUUGCUCACUAUGUGGCUUAGCCGAACUCUCAUUUCCUUUAAUGUAAAAAUAUUGAUGUAUUCAAAAAAAUAAAAAGUGACUAUAGAGGACACUCAAUCUCAGCUGUAUGAUUAAAUCAGACGGUAAGAAAAAUUCUGCAAGCAUACUCGGUUACAUUAAUUGAAGAAAAAAUGGGUAAAUAUUGGGCACCAACGUUAUAAAUACCCUCCACCAUGCACCCAACUCCCUCACACCAUCACAACCCACGUUACAAAUCCUCCUCCUCAUCAUAACCAUUCUGUUUUCCGCAUAAUAUCCAAAAACCUAUCAUGUCUGAAGAGAAACACCACCGCGGUCUCUUCCACCACCACAAGGAUGAAGACAAACCCUCAGACUACCCUCAGUCUGGCUACUCUGAUGAAGGACGUCCCGGCGGCCUCGGUGGUGGUUACGGCGACACCAAUGAUUAUUCUGGUGAAGGACGUACCGGCGGCCUAGGUGGUGGCUAUGGCGACACCAAUGCUUAUUCUGGUGAAGGACGUCCCGGCGGCUAUGGCGGCUAUAACGAGACCACUGCUUACUCUGAGGAAAGAGUUGAAAGACCCGGCGGUGGCCGGUACAGUGAGACUACUGCGGCAUAUGGCAGCACCACCACUCAUGAAUCUGAACUUGAUUACAAGAAGGAGGAGAAGCACCACAAGCAUCUCGAGCACCUCGGCGAGGCCGGUGUAGCUGCUGCCGGCGCUUUUGCCUUGGUACGUAUUGUAUUUUAACCCACCUCUAUAUAUAUAUAUAUUAGAAUAAUGCUAAUAAGACCAAAUUUUGAAAACUAAAUGAUGUGGUUGUUGAUAAUGAACUUAUUACUCAAGUCUUGAUUAACAUGCUUAUUUUCUAAUAGUGACACAUUAUUUGGUUUAGAAAUUUGGUCUUCCUAACUUUAUCAUUCUCAAAAUUUUCAUGAUUUUGAUAGGGUAAUACGGGAGAUCAAAAUUUCUAAACCAAAUUUGCAAACCAAUAGAUGAUUGGAUUAUUAAUUAAGUAUCGAUUGUUUGUUUCUUAUUAACGACAUAUCAUUUGAUUUACAAUUUAGUUAAAAAAAAUUUAUUCUUUCUGUCAUAUCCUUUUGAAUAUUUGAUCACUUUACUCUUUAUCACUUUACCCUUGAUCACUUUACCCAUACUCUUGCAACCGAAUCACCGUCCUCCUCCUUAACCUUCAUUUUUUUGUCUUACAGUACUCCAAUCUAUCAACUCUGUCCAUUGCAACUUUAAUUGUGAAGAAAAUUAAAGUCCUAUCGUAAAAUUAAUUAGUGAUAUGGAGAGUUGCGCAAUUAUUGAUGGACUAGGUAGGUAAGAUACGGAAUCAAAGUCUACCAUUAACAAUGGACGGAAUUGAUGAACCAUAUAGGUAUGUAAGAUACGGAAUCAAAGUCCUCAUGUAAAUGGUACAGUUGCAAUCAGGAGAAGAAAUGAGUUAACUGAUACCUUCGUAAUAGUUCAUGUAGAGUUUUGAUAUUAUUAAGCCUUAACCACCUGAUCUUAUAUAUACGAGGACAAAUCUAAUCAAAUAUGUGUUAAUUUCAAGGUUUGUUUUACAUUGAUGUGAGAUCGAUGCUAGCAAGAUAUAUAACUUAUGUCAGUUUCUAUAUGAUGUGUGUAGCAUGAGAAGCACAAUGAAAAGAAAGACCCAGAGCAUGCCCACAGGCACAAGAUAGAAGAGGAGAUUGCUGCAGCAGCUGCAGUUGGUUCGGGUGGAUUUGCCUUCCAUGAGCAUCAUGAGAAGAAAGAGACAAAGGAAGAAGAGGAAGAGGCUUAUGGAAAGAAGAAGCACCACCACUUCUAGAUCUAUGUGGAUUGUGGAACAUCAUCUUUUGACUACAUAUGCAAUGUUGUGUUUUUACUAGUUAUCAUGUGGUGUGAUCAGUGAGAGUGUGAUGCUUAAUCUCAACAAUAUCGCUACAAUAGUUGAGUGGUUAAAUGUCCUUUUCAAUUAAUGGGUGCUAUCUGGUUUUCUUUUAGCAUGCCAUCUAUGUAUGUAUGUAUGUAUGUAUGUCAUUGUUAUUGUUCAUAAUAAUACUGUUUACUCGGUGUUUAUUUCCUAGUGGCCACAUCUCAUUUUAAAUGAUUUCUUCAUACCAUUAAUUUUUUAAAUGUAAAGACUCAGUAUCCAUAUAACUACGAAAAUUUUUGACAAAACAAAAACAAGAAAAAAGAAAAGGAAAAAAUGGCUUAGCAAGUUUGUAUCCUAUAAGACAAAUGGGUACGUGGAACGAUGGACAUCUCACAAUGGUUUUUGAAUCGUCGGAUCAUCAUGGUUGGACUAUAUAAUUAUCAUUGAUAUAAUAUAAAUUUUGAUUUUUUUUUAGGAAAUUAAUAUCUGAAAACAAUAUUGAUGUACUGCAUUUGUUUUGGACGAUAUUAUACUUUAAUCCAAAUUUUGAGAAAAAAAAAACAUAUCGAACUCAGGUGUACAAGAGUGGCUUUGCUACCCAUGUACAGGGCUAGUUCUGAGUUUUUGGGUGCCCAGUGCGAAAGCUCAAAAUGUGACAUUUUUUAAUACGAAAACAUAUAUUAAAAAAAAUAUUUAAUGAGGGCUGGAACCCAGUCGAAGCUGGAGGGCUAGGACCUCACGCCCAAAUUAUAUUACUUGAGAAAAUAUACAACUGAGGAGGGGACAUGGUACCUAAACCCCGACAAUCAAAAGUACAAUCAUAUACAACCACUCCUAGCAAAUCUCCUUCAAAUUUCAACCUUUAAGAAAUUGUCUUCUGGCAUUUUUUGAAGCAAAAUCAUCAAUUAUAUCAUCAUACUCCAAGUCUUCAAUCUCAUCAUUUUCAAUGCAUAAGAUUGCUAAUCCAUUUAGCCUAUCUUGAGUCAUAGUGGUCCGCAAGUAAGAUUUUAAUAAUUUCAAUUUUGAAAAACUUCUUUUUGCAGAUGCCAUGGUCACAAGUACAGUUAACAGUACACGAUAAGCAAUCAAGACAUUAGGACACAUGUCAGUUUCUUUUACAAAAUUUGCUAUUUCCAUGGAUGUCCAAGGGUUAUUAGAGAGAAAUGCUUCUUCAGGUAAUAUCAUUUGCAAAACCUGCAAUUCGGAAUAUAAGUCAACUCCAUCUACAUCCAUGGUAUUUCCAUGUUUCAAAUGUGCUUCAAGAUUCAUACAAUUUUCUUUUAGCUCUUGAUCAUCCAAUGAAAUUAACUUUGGUGCAUCAAACAAGAAGCCAAAAAUAGAUUCAAAGGAUUUUAACUGUUCAAACUUGUGUUUCAGUUGAGAAAGAGCAAUAUCCACUAUAACAAGAAAAUAAUAUUUCCUAAAUGAUUCUUUAGCAGAUUAUUGUUCCCUCUCAUUACCAUCAACUUCAUCAUGAUGUCUUUUUCUAGGUCUAUGACAUUUAGUUUGAAAAAACAGGGUCAAUUUCCAAAUCAAGUGCAAUUUCAUUAGCAUCACUCAUGGCGGAAGCAAAACCAGUUUCUCUGUAGUUUCCAAAAAAUGUAACAAAUGCUUCAAAUGCCUUUACAGCAACAUCAAGACGCAUGUCUUUAGAUUGUAAUUUUAUGCUCACCAUGUUAAUCUUCAACAAAAUGUCAUACUAAAUAACCAAACUUAAUACAAAAUCAAAACUUGAAAGUUCGCCUGAUGCUAAACAUCUUGCAUCCCUACUUAAUUGAGGAUUUUCAGUAAUUUCCACCAAUUAAACAAAGCAUUUCUAACCUGGGCUACUUGAGACUUAAUUGCUUUAACAUUUUCAAUG
rnacentral:lncRNA from 1 species